CUUAGACCGACACGGCGGUUUAGAUUGGGUAUUUUGGACUUCUUGUUCGGUUGACGCAUACGUCUAUAGUAGCAGUUGUUGCAUGCAUAUUUACAGUUCUUUCUAUAUACUUGUUUUGCUACUAUAGUUUGAUACCCGGAUAUGUUUUAUAUUCUUCUUUACAGUAGCGGUAGUCGUUCUUAUACAUUCUGUUCAUAUAUUAUUGUUGCUACUGUAUUUAGCAUAUCUGCCCUUGUUGUUAUUUAUCUCUUCCUGAUCCGGUGAGUACUUCUCGCCUUCUUCGGCUUGCGGUACCCACUGGGAGGGGAGACAUGUUUACAUGUUCUCACCUCCCCCACCAUUUUUCAGGUAUCGCGGGCGAUGAGUAGUGGGACGAGACGUGAGGUACGUGUGUAGCGGUCGAUAGAGCUUCCGACCCAGGUUAUUUCGAUUUAGUUAUUACCCUUAUUAUUCUGUUGAUAUAUAGCUUAGUCGGUUUACAUGGUUCAGUUUUGUUUUAUUAUCUGAAUAUCUGAGUUUUCAGUUGGUUUUGGAAUAUAUUAAAGGAAUUGUGUUUUUUUGAAAAAUAAAAGGUUUUCUACCCCUCGUGGUAGCGUUUUUAAAAGAUAAAAGUUUCCGUGUAGGGAACAGUUUUCAAAAGAUUUUCUGUGGCUUUGUAUCUUAGUAUUUCAAAACUUGUUUCCGGGUAGGAAACGUUUCAAAUGAUAGAUCUUGAUUUAUGUUUAAAACUAUGAAUACCGUCGUGUUGUGAAUGGUGAAUGUAUGGACGUCUGUAUGUGCGGUUGAGGUUGUAUGUUCAUAUGGUUGUGGUUGUAUUCUGGUUGUACUUUGGUUAUAUAAUUGUACUUGUGCGACGCCGUGCAAAUACAGGGGAGACUCUGUCCGUGUGAACAGUGGAUUCCUUGUAUUUGUGGCGGAUCUGACAUACUCUGGGGUCAGGUGUUUCAAAAAAAAAAUUUAGUCGUUUCCGCUGUUUUUCCAAACUAAAAAGGGACCCCGGGGCGUAACACUACCCUAGAGACCUGAGAUAGCAGUAUCCCGAGUCGGCAUAACCUAGGGGUCUAGAAAAUGAAAAGAACAAAAUGUAUCUAAAUUGUAAAAAUUGUAAUAACUUAGAUUGUAUUUGGAAGAAAGUAAACUUGUAAAAUGUAUGAAGGUGAAUGCUUGUAAUAAUUUAGGUGUUUAUGUUUUUGAUACUUCCUUAUGCAAUCUUUGCUUGAAUACUAUUCUUAGUUGGAACUUCGUGUAUUAUAUUGAUUGCGACGUCUAGAACGUACAGGGGAAACUCUGUCCGUUCGGUGGUCUGUCGGCAUGCCCGAAUCCGACCAAAUAGGCGGGUCGCGGUGCGUGACAAUAGUAGCCGGACUCUAUAUAUAUAGAGAGCUAGGCUGGAAUACGACUGAUAGUAAAAGGCCCUUUUUGCUAUCAAGUUUUUAACCCUUGGAUGAGAAAUUGUACGGUUAGGGUGAUAUUAGUCCCUUAGGGUUGAGUGGUCCUCACUGGGUUAUAAUAUUUAAUCCAAUGGUUAGAAAUUAUGAAAGGAAUUGAUCUAAAAGCUAAAAACUUGAUAGCAAAAAGGGUCUUUUGCUAUUAAUAGUAUUCUAACCCAACUCUCUCUCUCUCUAUAUAUAUAUAUAUUGGAGUCCGGCUACUAUACUCUUAUGAGUACGAUCGCCCUCGUACUCAUAAGUCAUUUUCGAUGAUAGAAUUUCCGAAUCGACGAUCCAUGCCGUCAAAUGUUAUCUUGAGCAUUUAAAACUUUUAUAAAUCAAAUCUUAUAAUUUUUUGACAUCAUUUGCCUUACGGUCAAAGGGUCACAAAAUUGACAAUUUUUAACGGUCGGUAUGGAAUACUUGCUAGUUUAACGGUGUAAAAGAAUUGGAAUUGGUUGAAUUUUUAAUAGAAAAUUCUAUUCACUACCUAGAUAAAGAUCAAUAACUCCGAUCUUAAAUUGAAGGAUCUAAUCAUCUAUUUUUAGGACGUUGUUCGAUUUCGACUGUUUAUUUUAUGCCCGUUUGAUGAACUUUAUUAUUAUUUCGAAAAAUUACGAAUUUAUUUUCUAGAAAUUUCAAAUGCUCUAGAUCAUAUUUAAUAGAGUGGAUCGUCGAUUCGAAAGCUCCAUCAUCGAAAACAACUUAUGAGUACGAAGUACUCUAUACUCAUAAUAGUAUAAUAGCCCUACUAUAUAUAUUGGACUAUAUAUUUUUUUAAUAGCAAGUGAAGAAAUAUAUAGUACAAUAGAUAAUGAUCAUCAAAGAUAAAAGGGUUCAUACUUUCCGGGAACCCUUAGGUACCCGGUUAAUUACGCCCUUUUUAUUCAUACGGGCCACCUCCGAUUAAGCUGGUCAUAAAAAUAAAAUACCCUCUUUUAAUAAUAAUCUUAUUUAUUACUUUUUUUAAUAAUAAUAAUAGUAGCAAUAGAUGCCAACUAGGUGCUCAUCAUAUACUUUUAACAUAUACAUACACACAUACAUAUAUAACUACAUAUACAUAUACAUACAUACAUACAUACAUAUAUAUAUAUAUAUAUAUAUAUAUAUAUAUAGAGAGAGAGAGAGAGAGAGAGAGAGAGAGAGAGAGAGAGAGAGAGAGAGAGAGAGAGAGUUGGACUGGGCUACUAUUAGUAGCAAAAUCUCAUUGUUGCUACCAGUUUUUUAGCCUUUGGAUCAACUCUUUUUAUUAUUUCUAACCAUUGGAUUAAAUAAUAUAACCCAGUGGGGACCACUCAACCCUAGGGGGACCAUUCAACUCUAACCGACUAAUAUCAUCCUGACCCUACAAUUUUUCAUCCAAGAGUUAAAAACUUGAUAGCAAAAAGAGCGUUUUACUAUUAAUAGUAUUCCAGUCUAAUUCUAUAUAUAUAUAAUAUAAUAUAUAUUAUAUAAUAUAAUAUAUAUAUAUAUAUUUAUAUAUAUAUAUAUAUAUAUAUAUAUAGGGCUGCUGUGCUCUAAGAGCAAGAGCAGCAGCAGCCGCUGGUGCUAUUAAACUUCCACCCUCCAUCAUGAUAGAUGAGGGCUGAGAUUUAAAGCCACCCAACAAUGGUUCCACUUUUAUCAGUGUUAGAAUUAACGGAUUAAUCACAGCAUCUUUCUCUCUCAUCUUUUCUUACUUUUCUUUUUUUCUUAUUCUAUUCUCUCUUCCCCAACUCCUUCCUCUCCUCUUCCAUCCUCUACUGUGGAUCCCUUCUCCCUGUGGAUCUCGUCGCCGCCGCUGCCACGCUGAGAAGAAAUCGCCCUUCGCAAAGGCACGCGCCCUCCGCCCCUCUCUCGAUCUACCCCCUCUUGAAGCUACCCUCGCCACCUUGCAUGAACCACCACCCCGCCGCCUUCGCCUGAAACGCCGCGCACUCACCCACCCCCGCACGUCAUGCCUGAACGCAUCCGAGCGCGCCCCAUCCACCCCUACGCACAACGCCUUUUGUAUCGCACCCCCUGCUGACCCGAGCGAACCUCACCACCCGGCCCCGCCCCCCCCCCCGGCACACUGGCGACCCGCUCCGCCUGAAGCAUCCCCUACACAAAAAAUAGAAAAAAAAAUAAGAAAAAUAAAGGCUUGAAGCCACCUUCCCUUAAAACCAAUAAAAAAAAUCCGUAAUGCAAUUUUUUUCCAACUUAAUAUACCGUCUACCUGCUGCACGCCCACCUGAAGCAUUCUCCUCCCUCCAAUCCAACCCAACCCAACCCAACACACAAAAAAUAGAAAAAAUCAAAGAAAGAAGAAAAAAAAACUGCCUGAAGCCACCCUUCCACAAAACCAAAAAGAAAAAUUAAGUUUCUAAUGCAAUUUUUUUCUAUUUUUUUUUAACUUAAUAUACUAAUUAACAGUUAUCUGAAUGCAGGUUAUCUGAAAUUAAUAGCACAAAAUAAGUGUUGCAUGCGAUGGGCUGGUCCAAAAGAAAUUUUUAUCAAAGUAGAGUUGUUUGUCGCAAUUGUAAUAAACCUGCUGUUAUUCGAGUUUCACAACAACCUAAGAGCAAAGUAAAGGAAUUUUUUGGAUGUCUAAACUAUGGAAAGAUCUUCGAAAAUUAUUGUGAUUUUUUCAUGUGGCGUGAUCUAAAAGAUAAAGAUACCUCCGAAAUUGGUAGCUUAAGUUAUUCAAGAACUGACAAAUUUUUAGAUCACGCAUCAAAAAUAACAUCCGAGAUAUCUUCGAAGCAACAACUACUGGAGCAAAUAAAUGAAAUGCAUAAAGAAAUUUAGAUCUUGAAAGCCAAAUUAGAAGAACUGUCAACAAGGGUUAUUACAAAUAAAGGAGAUUAUGAGAAGAAAAUAUUUUUUUUUGUGUUUCUACUUUGUUUGUUAAUUGUUAAAGCUUUAUUUAAUUUCUAUAUAUCAUGUAAGAACUUUUAUAUAUGAAUAAGUUGUAAAGUUUUCUCUUAAUUUUUUUAAGGUCAAAUAAAUGAUGUUGAACUUAGAAUAGAUAAAUGUUUUCUUUUUUAUUUGACUUGGUGGAUAUAUUAUUUUCUUUGUGAAUAUAUUAUUUUCUUUUUUGUUUGACUUGGUAAGAAAUGUAUUGUUGAAUGUCAACAAUACAAGCAAACAAAUAGCAUUUUGAAUAAUAUUCAAAAUUUUUAAAAUAAUGAAAAAUUUUUAAACAUGCAAAAUAUAUCAAAUAUCUAAAAAUCAGCAAAACUGAAACCCAAAAGCAAAAAUUAUAAUCAAUAGAAACAUCCAACUGAUCAAUAGAAUCAAUGGAAACAUCAAACAACAUACAUGUCAUAGUAAGAAUUAAGAAGUGUAAUAGUCACAAACACAUUACCAGCCAUUUUAAGCUAAAAUGCAUCCCAACAACUUAAAAUAGCACAACAGAAAUAGUCAGCAGCAUCUCAUCAUAUUCAGGAUUGCCUAUCAAUAUCGCGCUCAACAUAGGUUAACCCAACAUUCCAAAUAAUAUAUUCACAAGUAGAUUAAACAUCUAACAUUCGAAAUAAAAUAUCCAAAGCACCUUAAACAUCCAACAUUUCAAUUAAAAUACAACAUCCAAAAAAGUACACUAAACAUCUAAAAUACAAUAUCUGAAAAAGUACAUUAAACAUCUAAAAUACAUCUUCCAAACAUCCAAAGUGCAUUAAACAUUCAAAGUACAUUAAACAUCCAAAAAAGUAAUUUCAUUAUUCGCUAUCUUCAUCGUCUUCACGACUUUCACUACUUUCUACAUUGGAGUGUGGAGGAUUAUCACCAGAUAUAUUGGAAGCCUCUUUGCAAGUUCGCCUAUUAUGGCAUUUCUUUUUGCAUAUUUGGCAUGUCCUAGAUUUCUUAGCUUUCUUUUCAACAGGUGGCUUGAAUCUCUGUGGCCUCCUUUUGCCUUUACAUUGCGAUUGCGGAGGAUGUUUUAGCACAUAUCCUCCUAUAUGUUAAUUUAUUUGACUUGAUUGAGAAAUCAUAGCCAAAUUAUAAUCACAUGCAUCAUCAUCUCCCCUCUCCUCCCUAUUUUGAACAGUUUCUCGUUCAAGUGAAGUAAGCUCGUCAACAACUAUCUUUACUUUACGACGUGCAACCGCAAAUGCCGCCAUACUUUUUGUGCCCUCAAAUAGUAUUGCUUCCACUCUAGGUCGAAGAAUCUCAAACAUUUGCUCUUUUGUAUAUGUAAUCUCAUUAUUUGCAACAAUCCCUACUUUUUGUAGUGUUGUCCCUUUCUUAGCAUCUUUGGUCCAUCAUUUCAAAAUAUAGUGUGGUGGAAUGGAAUGCAUAUUUAUGUAAGACAACACCUUUAGACAAUGUGAGCACAAAAUUUUGAAGAAUUCAAAUAAUUUACAAUUACAACUGACCUUCUGAUUAGGCACAUUUACAGAAAUCAUAUAUGAGCGGAGCCAUCGUUUUUGGAUAUUAGAUUGGGCUAGUGGACUGAUUUUGUAUAGUGCAUAUUUUUCUAAUUCUAAUAUAGAAUAAGUCGUGGCAGCCCUUAAAUACUUUCUAAACUCGAAGAAAAUAGCUUCCGUGUAUAUAUCACGAGCUUGCCUUUCAAUUGGAUCAUAAGACCAUAAGUGAGCCUCCCCGUCUUUAUUUUUGAAAUCUUCCUCAUCCUCUCGUUCAUAACAAGUUGUUGUAAUUUUCUCAAAUUGUAUAAUAAACUUAUAUAUGGAUGUAUGAGAGUCUAACAAUAGCUUCAACCAAGCAUUUAUACUUUCACUGCGUUGUGAGGUUGACAUGUUUGCGAAAAAUAUAUCUCAAAAAAAUACAGGUACCCAUUGAUGGCGUGUUUUCCAUCUAACAACUUGUACUUUUCGAUCACUGAUGCCCACUCAUUUUCAAAUUCUUCAACUAUCAAACUAUAGUUUAUGCAAUCUUUCAAUUCUUCUUCAAAUCCUAACUUGGUGCUAUAUAAUACUCCCAAUGCUCCCUUGUCUUUCUCAUUACAUGCCACUGACAACACCUAUGUACGGUAUUUGGAAAUACAAUCUCAAUCGCCUUCUUCAUUGCAUGGAGUUGAUCAGUAAUUAUAGCUUUUCGAUGAAUGCCAAACAUUGCUUCUAACCAAUUACGAAAGAGCCAACAAAAUGUACUAGUUGUCUCAUCUCUAAUUAAAGCACAACAAAAAAAAAUUAAUUUUUUAUGAUGGUUCACUCCAAUGAAUGGAGAAAAUGGCAUACUAUACUUGUUUGUCAUAUAGGUCGUGUCAAAAGUCACCACAUCAUUAAAAUAUUUGUAAGCCAUUCUUGCUCUCCCGUCAACCCAAAAUAUGUUGCGGGUCAUGUAUUGAUCGUCGACGUCAAUAGAAUAGAAGAAAAAUGAAUCUUUACUUUGUAGUUCACGAAAAUAAUUUAGGGCACUAGAUACAUCAAUUCCAAGGAGUCGUCUAUUUUUUUCGAAACCUCGUUCAUCAAAUCUUUACAUGUGAAGUGAAUAUUUUGCCGUCUUCCCUCUUUUGCUGCCAAAUAAGACAUUAUUUGAGAGGUUGAAACAUUUUGCUCACUCAAUUGAUGGAUUAUUUCUCUUUGAUCUUUUGUGAUUUUUCUAUGCGAUCUGCCAAAACGACUUUUUGAAGGACUCACGAUUAACUCAUGAUUGUGCACAUUGUAAAAUUUCGAUACCACCCAUUUUCCUUGCUCGACCAUUCUUGCCCUUAUAUGUGCCUUACAACCUGUUCUUCUAUAAGGCAUUUCUUUUUUAGGUGUGCCUUUUACUUGUGAAGAUGCAUUCUCAUCUCCUUUAUGAGUGGGUUGGUUUGGUUGUCUUUCCUUUGAACAAGUGAAAACAAUGUUUGAGAUCAUAUUGUCAAACCUUUUAGAUUGUAGUGACUAGACUUUUUGAUACUAAAACCCGUUUUGAAUGCAUAAAUAUUAUAAAAAUUCUUUACUUCAUCAGCACUACCAAACUCCAUUCCAAUAUAUGGCUCAUUGGUCAUCGGUUCAUCUUCAAUUGUUAGCUCAUUAUCACAUCGAAUUUCAUUUUCCCCAUCACAAUCACUAAUUUCCGGAUCGUGAUUCCAUUGAAUUUCAUUUUUAAUGUCGAAAGUAUCAAUAGUGGUUUGAGUAUUAUCAAUACCAAAGAUGGUAGAUGUAGAACCAAUCUUAGAGGCGCCUUCAACGGGCAUAUUCUCCAACUGAUUAUCUGAUUCUAGUGAAUUGUCAUCUACAAUAUAAUAUAUAUAAAUUAAUCAACCAAUAAAUAAUAACAAAACAUAAAUUUUUGGUUUUUUUUGAAGGUGCGUGCGAGCAAUCUUCAAGCUCGGCGCGAUGAGGGAUGCUUCGGGCAGGGGAAUGCCUCAAGCUGGCGGUUGCAGGUUUAGGGUGAUGCUUCAAUUUUUUUAUUUUUUUUGUUUUUAGGGUUUAGGGAGAUGCUUCAGGCUAGGACGUGUAAAGGGUAGAUGGUACAUUAAGUUGAAAAAAAAUUGAAAAAAAAUUGCAUUAAGGAAACUUAAUUUUUUUUUCGAUUUGAAAAAAAAAUUGAAAAAAAUUUGCAUUAAGAAAACUUAUUUUUUUUUCAGUUUGAAAAAAUUUUGAAAAAAAUUUGCUUUAAGGAAACUAUUUUUUUUCGAUUUUGGGGGAGGGUUGCUUCAGGCAGUUUUUUUAAAAUUGUUUUUUCCUGUUUUUUGUGGUUUCUUGUUUUAUUUUUUUUUUCUAAUUUUCUAUUUUUUCUAUCUUUUAUCUAUUUUUUCUAUUUUUUUUUCUUGGUUUUGGGGGAUGCUUCAAUGUAAUGCGGCCGGGGGUGGGAUGCGGAGGGCGUUAUGCGCGGAGGUAGAUGCAGGGGAGCGCGGAUGCUUCAGGCGUAACCUGCGGGGGCGGGUGCAUUCACGGCAGUUUCAGGCGCGGGGCGGGGUGGUGGGUUCAGGCGAGGGUGGCAAGGUAGUUUCAAGCAGGGGUAGAUCAGGGAUAGGGGGCAGAGGGCAUACCUUGCGAAGGGCAAUCUCUUCUCUAGCGGCGGCGGCGGUGAGAUCCACAGGAGAGGGAGAUCCAUAGUAGAGGGAGUGGGAAAGGAAGAAGGAAGGAGUUGGAGAGGAGAGAAUAGAAGAAGGAAAAAGAAAAGUAAAGAAAAGAGGUGAGAGAAAGAUGUUGUGCUUGGCUCCGUUAAUUCUAACACCGUAAUAGUGGAACCCAUUGUUGGAUGGGCUUUAAAUCUUAGCCCUCCAUCUAUCAAGAUGGAUCCAUCUAUCAUGAUGGAGGGUGGAGAGUUUAAUAGCACAGGGGCUGCUGUGCUCUUAAGAGCACAGCAGCCCCACAGCAGCCCCACUCUAUAUAUAUAUAUCUAUGUGUGUGUGUGUGUAAUUUUGAAAGCUAUAAUAAGUAUGAUAAAAUUAAUCAUAAUUGUAUAAUAUCAUGAAAAAUAAGCAAAGGAAAGAUUUUUUUUUGAGCUAGUAAUAUAAAAUAUUAUAUAGACUUAAUAGUUUCCUUUUAAAAAAAAGAAGAAAAGAAUACAUAGUAUAUAUAACAUAAAAUAAUCAUAUGUUUUUUUUUUUAAAAAAAAGGACUAAACUGCAGUUAGAUUAAUUUAAAAUUUGCAGAGAAGAAAGAAGCUAAAUGUAGAUUUUUUUUUUAAACAGUAGAUACGUCUCAUCAUUUUUUUUUAAUUUAACACAAAAUGUCAUUAAAAAAAAAGUUACGGGGUAUACUCUAGAUUAAGCAAAGAAAACAAACACUCCAUCACUUUUAUUAUUUUGUUCUUUCUUAAUUCCGAAGCAACCACUUAAUUGAUGGGUUGUGACCUCAAGUUGAGUUGCUACGUCGGUGGGUGGAGCAACGGCAGCGGCUUCGGACGGCGUUGGGCAGCAUUGGGCGUAGUAGGCGUGGCGGCCGACGUGGUCGACGUGGCAGCAGUAGCGUCGACAAGGAACGAAGUAGCGGCUGUAAUGGGUAGUGAUGGCGUUGGACGGCGUUGACGAGUACGGCGGCGACACCUCGAGUUGAGCGGCGACGUCGGCAGUGGACGCGGAGGCAACGGGUUUGGGCGGCGUCAGAGGGUUCGACGGCGGCGGUCAAAAAAGGAGAGCACAGUUCUCUCUUUAUUUUUUAAUAUAUAUAUAUAUAUAUAUAUNACUCCCUGUAAAUAUAUAUUAUUUUUUUAUUAACUCUCCUUCUUCUACCUUCUCUCGCUCUUUCUUCUUUUUUUUUCUUUUUUUUUUAUUUUGUUUUGCAAUAGAUGACGUGUGUACAACCGAUGUGGAUGACCCGCUGUCUCACAGCUAUCUCCCCCGAUUCUUUCGGCCUUCCCUCAUUGUCUUCUGUCCCCUUCGACCGGCGUGCGCGCCACCCGGCCAUUGGAGUUCUGAAAAAGGAAGAUGCUACCCUAGGUAGCCCAAACUAGGUUUCUCUUUAUCAUGCUUCACUUUUCUCCCUUUCCCAAUGCCGACAACUCCCCAGAAGGUGAGCAAGAUCCUUCAGAGGUGCUAUGGACAUCCGUGCUCACCUUCUUUGUAAUUCGAGAGGCCUCGGAUUGCUGGUUCUACUGCAUCGCUCCUGUCGGCUUUGAAAAUUGGAGCUCGUAUAGCCUCGGUGUGCUGUUCAGCCACUGUUUAUGCUUUGAAUGUGAGCACGGGCUUCAGAAUGUUGAGAUCUGCAGCCUACACCACUAGUUGGAUUUCAAAGUGCAUGAAAUUCAACGCGACCAAACCCUAGCUUUUCAUAUAUAAUAAUGCUAUUAGAUGAAUGUCUUGGGAUUUUUACACAAUUAGGGCAUGUGGACUACCUUAGGUAGCAUGAACCCAUCGUGGUGUGACCUCUAGAUUAAUGGUCCUAGCUCUGAUGGCCUUCGCGAAGUGUAAUUAGGGUUUCGAUGCGUUAAUCAGCAAAAUCGCCGAAUGAUCAUGGGUUUUUGUUGGGAUUCGCGUUCAGUUAAUGUAAAUGCCUUGUUUUCAUUAUCAAGCCUUGUUAUCUUGCUACCUCACUAUCUCAUGGGUGCAGAGACAGCAAGAGAGUGGUGGAGGAAGCCAAAAUCGUUAUUUUUGGGAACCUGAUAUGACAUUGUUUUGAUUAAACGCACUUAUUAGCAUUGUUUUCAUGUGUUGCUGCCCAAGCACCUAAAUCAAUGGGUUUGAGGAGCAGCGGAUGGUUUAUUGUGUGGAUUGGUAUCUUCUGGGAUACUUCUUGGGUUUUGAAAGUGUUCUGGUGAGUUUUCAAAAAAUUUUGACGGGUUGGAAAUCGUUAAAAGUAAACCGAUUUUUUGAUGGUUUCCGGAUGUGUGAUUAGUGACUUUGGGUUACUUAAAGUUAGUCUUAUUUAGUGGGGUUGUUUGAUGUGGAACUUUUGUAGGUCCGGUCGAUUGUUAGGAGCACCUUUGGAGUUAGGUGUCUCGUCUGAUUCAGGUCGGUGCCCGAUUUGAAGUCGGUAUAGUAGUGCAAGCUUGAUGACAUUCUUUUCCUUUUUCUCUCUUACUUGAUUAUACAUAUUGCAUGUUGAGCACUUAAUCACCACUUGACUUUACUUCUCUUUGCUCUACGUUGAUAUAAUCAUCAUAACUUGGUGGUGGAGCGAUACUAUAUUAAAUGUCAUUACAUGACUUGAUACAUGAUUGACCUAUUUGGUCAGUAGGAUAUGGGAUCCAUAAGAUUAUGUGACCUAAUUGGUCAGUAUAUUCCUUGUGAAUCCUAUGUCAGCUACUUACCGAUGGUUUGCUAUUGAUCAUAUUACUCAUAGCUCGUGUGCAUUUCACGUGCAUCAGCAGUUUGGCUAUCGCAAUGUUUUUUUCCAGAAAAGUGAUUGUACUUCCGGCUCGUGAGCUCUAUGCAGCCUACUGCUAAGGACAUAUACAAAUAAAGCAGGAUGUGGCAUUGUCUGAGGUCACUAGACCAAUAUGGUGAUUGAUUGGGUACAUUUGGACUAUUCGUCCGACUGAUACAUUAGCUUUUUGAAUUACAGUAGCGAUAGAUGUAUAUUUGUUAUUCAUUUCCUUCAUCGAUUUGCGAUACCCAUUGGAAAACUUCAAGUUGAUUUCGCAUCCCCUGUUUUACAGAUGACAUCAGUGGCGAUGGUCGGAAUGAUGCGUGAGAUAUCGACAUAGCUAGUGAGCUUUAGUGGUCUCGUGCAUUAUCAUUGAUUGAGUACGGUUAUUUAUUCUUUCUUACUCUUUAGUUAUUCGUUAAAUAAUUUAGAUAUUGUGGUGGUUCAGUUUAUAUUUGAUUGUUUGUUUUGGAUUAAUAAAACUAAGGGCGUGUUUGGUUCGAAGUCAGAGUCGGAAUCGAAAUCGGAAUCAAAAUAAGCUGGAAUCGGAAUUGGAAUGACUCAUUACCUAAUUCCGUUUGGUUCAUCAUCUGAAUCGGAAUCGGAAUAAAUCAUUCCCAUUGUUGGUGUUUGGUUCAGGUGGAUAUAAAAAACGUAAUCAAAUUAAUAUACUAACAUUAUCUUUAUAAUAUAUUAAUUUAAAUUCAAAUUAAAAAUUAAAUAUUAAAAAUUUACAUCAAAAUUUUUAAAUAAUGUCAAAAUUUUAAAUCUAUUUUUUUAAAAUAAAUUAAUCUUUGAAGUUGAGUGGAUAAUUCAAAAUAUGAAACUAAAUUUUUAUUUAUUCAAAUUCAAACUUAAAAUUACAAUUUAAAUUUUAAUUUGAAUCCAUAAAUUUAAUUUAAGUUUGAAAUAAAAUUUGAAUAAACUUUAUAUAAAUUAAAAUUUAAUUUAAAUUCAAAUUCAUAAGUUAGAUUCGAAAUACUUGAUUAAGUUUUAAUUUUUAAUUUAAGUUCAAAUUAAAAUUUAAAAUUAUAUAUUUAAUUUUUAAAUUUUAACUCAUAUUUUAAUUAAAAAAGUUGAAAAAAUAAAUUUAAUCCGAAUAAAUAUCCAUUCCGUCCAGAUACAACUUCCAAUCCGGCCUCCUAGGCCGGAUUGAAAAAAAGGGUGAUUGGGGGAUUUCCAUUCCACUCGGGAAUCGGAAUCGGAAUCGGAAUGGGACUCCCGCGUACCAAACACCCACAAACAGAUUCACCCAUUCCGUUUCCGAUUCCGAUUCCAUGGUGAAAAAGAAGCGAACCAAACACGCCCUAAGAGUAAUGUUAAUGGUUUAUGUUUAUAACUGUGGCUUUGGUUUAUGGUUUUAUAACAAAUAUUUUUUUAUCUCUCGUGGUACUUGAUUUCAAAGGCUAAGUUUCUAUAUUGGAAACACUUUUUAAAUAGUUUUUUUUAAUUUUAUCGUAUAUCCUAGGUUUUUAAAAAUAAAUUUUUUCGGUAGAAAACUCUUUCAAAGAAGAAAGUUUUUAGUGGUUGAUGUACUGUACAUUCGUAUCAACUUCGCUAAGUAUUGGUUAGCUUUAUGAGCAUCUACGUGUUAGGAUUCCUCGUUGAUGGUUGUAAAUGGAAUUAUUUUUUUUUUUUGAGAGAGAGAUAGGUAGCACGCUACCCGCUUUGUUUAUUUCAUUUAGAAAUAAACUUAGCUGAAAAUGUGAAUCAACUAGGAUUCGAACUUGGGUCUCGGGUACCAACCACCAAGCCCUUUGCCACUUGCUCUAGGGACAAUCAGUUAAAUGGAAUUGUUAGUUGUAGUAAUAUAAUAGGUGGUACGUCAUGCAAAUACAGAGAAGACUAUUCAUGUGGAUAGAAAAAUCUUUAUAUUUGUGGCGAGUUUGUCCAUCCCGCGGGCAAAAGUGUGUUUUUUUUAAAAAAAAUUGGGCACUUUUUCGCUGGCAUUACUUUUCAAAUUGGACCUUUUUAUGAAAAAGCUUUACAAAAGGGCUUCAGGACAUGACAUUCAACCCCUCGACUUGCAAACCUAUUGGGAUGUUGUGGAUGUGGCCUACCAGUGGAAAAGGGGCGAAUUAGUGAUACGAUUGGAGUGCGGGGCUUAUGAGAAAGGCACGGAGAAGAACCGGUCGUGGAAUGGUUUUGGGAGGCCAAUCGAGUUCAAAGCAGCCUCUGAAGCACCUGCACUUAUAGUCACAAUUGUACGGGUCUUGAUGCUUUUAAUUUUUUUAGCCCAUGGAUCUACAUUUUAGGCUGUUGAAUUUUUUAGCCCUUAAAUUUAUAUUUUUGAAAAUUGGAGUAAAGUCAACAAUAGUGAUUUCUUGUGAGACCCACUAUUGUACAUAAUUUAAGGAUUUUAUAGUUGAUCCAAUAGCCAAAAAGAUUAUAAUACAAACACCUUAGUAUGUGUGUGUGUGUGUAUAUAUAUAUAUUCAAAGGUAAGGAGAACAUUAUUUUAUGAAUUUCAAUUAUUAGAUUAAGAUUUUAAUUUUUAAAUUUUUUUUCUAGCUCUUCGUUUAGUAGUGGGGCUGACGGUCUAACUUACUGUUCGUGAAUUAACUUGCGUUUGACUCAGCCCUAGUUAUUGGUAUGUUUGGGUCCAGCCGUUGCCUUGAUGGGCCCGACCCGAUCCAUUAACAUCCCUCGAUAAUUAAGCAUUACUAGGGAUGUCAAUGGGUCAGAUUCGGGGCGAAUUUUUAAAAAUUCAAAUCCGAACUUGACUCAAAACUCGAACCUGACGGAUUUUAUAAAUCCAUAUCCAAAUCCAAAUCUGACAAAAAAUUCAAAAUCCGAACCCGAACCCGAAAUAAUUAUUUUUCUUUUCAAUAUUUCAAAAUAUAUUACAUUAAAUCUAAAAUUUUAAAAUAUAAAUUUAAAUAUAAUAUCAAUAUAUAUUAUAUUAUAUAUAAUAUAUUAUAGUAUAUAUAUACUAUAUAAUAUAUAUAAGUUUACUGAGUACGUGGGCUACUAAUAGGCCUCUUAUGAUUGAUAAUAACUGAAAUUUUUCAUUUAUUGAUUAAUACCCUUUAGUAUUGAACGAUGUUCUUGUGUGUAAAUAAUUUAAAGUGUACUCCGUCAAUUUCAGAGAAAACGAGUUAAAACGGAGAAGUUACGCGGAGCACGCUAAGUAAUAUAACUCGCGAUUUUCCGAGAGGCCGCGGAGUAGAGUGGGACCUUUCGACGUAUCGGACUCCGAAUAUAGCCUUCCAAUACUCGUUUCGAACCUCUUCGACUAAAUACUGAUACCAUUGGCGUUAUUGCGGACAAACUUGGGUUUGAUAGCACGGUUGUCGAGAAAAAGGGUUGUAAAUGGUUUUUACACAUAUGAUUCAUAACCAUAAUGUGGUUUUUGAUGGAACCAGCAGUGAGGGUGUGGUUUUUGUCGGCAAAAUCGAGACGCUUUUCAACGAAAUGAACAUGCUAAGAAUUCCGAAUGCCCAGUCGUGCUGAAUCGACGGCGCAUCCUUCAGAAUCCAGACGGACGAUCUUCGGGAAUUCGCAAAAGUCGCCAUGAAGGGCUAUUUGACAAAAGGAUGAAAUCGGCGAAGAAGGCCCAAUCUAUUUUAAGUGCGCGCGUUUGUGCGAAGUUUUUUUCGAAACAUCCGGAGGGAACUGGUCAGUGCAACGUAGCACCUCCAACUGGUAGGGAGCUGGGUUCGAAAUCCUGGUCAAUCAUCGGGGUUUUUCCGUAAGGUUUAACUCUAGCGGGCGUGACAUAAAAGGAAUAUUUAGGCGUUCCGAGGUGAAACCCUAACCUCUAAUCGAACCUCCCUGACCCAGACCACCCUACCGUCAGCCCAGCUGAGCCCCCUGCCCUGUCGGUGCGCCUAGCCCGGCCUGCCCGGCAUGUGCUGCUGUCCCCAGCCGAACCCUCUACUGCAGCCUUCCCGGACCACCCUCUCGGUCCUACCUUUUAUCCUCCGCUCCUUGCGCCGAGAGCAAUGUGGGUGUCUCCCACCUCUGAAGAAGCCCGGCCGUGAUCCACACUCCAGCGCGGCCGUAGUGCGUCUCCAGCUCGCGGGCAUCCCGGACAAGUUGCUCGGAGUGCCGCCUGGAUGCUGCGGCCUAGCUCGCGGGUCAACCAGGCGAUCCGGGCCAACCUCGUCUGCGGCGCCGCCACACCAUUUCUCUGGUCCUUUCUGUGCCGCCCUCUGAUAUGCAGCUCGCACUCGGCGACUCCGCAAGUUACUGCCGCGCGCGCAUCCCCCCGCCGCGGACCUUGCGCGAGCUUCGUCCGGCCGUCGCGGACUUCCUGUGCUGCUCUUCCAAGCAGCUGCGGCCGAGGUCGGCCCCCGCGAGCUUCUAUGACGCUUGGCCUGCGCAGCCCACGUAGGUUGCACAGCCCCCUCCCGACCUCCGGCGCCGAAUCGUCGCCUUUGUUCCCUGGCACUUCCGUUGCCGACUCUUCCUGCCGGCCGCCCGCGAGGUCCGCCGGGAACUUAGAACCCGAGAGGGAGUUUGGGACGUAGAUUCUAGCCGCCGCGCCACGGGUUGCCGCCCGCUCCCGGCCUUCUUAUCUAUCUUCUCCCCCGACCCCCCUGAACCGAGUGCUCCCUCCUUACCGCGCGAUCCCCACCUCCUGCCGCCUGCCUAGGAACCAGCCCUAGAUCAUUCCUUUCGGUCUGGUAAGGGCAUGUUUACGCUUCAAUGUUUUUCGAGUUCCAUUGUCUCUUUUUCGGGUGAUCACGAGAAGCCCUUCUAGAGUCUCGGAAGUGAGCACGUGAUACUAUCGCAACUCGUGCUGAACAUCGUCGCUUCACCUCCAACUACGCAGCAAUGAUGCGUACCUGGUUCUUGUGAGUUAUUCGGCGAUCUUCAGCGCUGUGCGGCGCAGUCUUAUCGUGAUUUUCACAUCGUCGUAUGUCCGCGCACCAGCAGUGCCGGCAGUGUCUCCAAGGUGAGCACGGCCUCACGACAUGCUGAAACCGCGGUGUCACGAAGACACGUCGAUUAAUCGACCCCCUGGUUUGUGCACAGUCCAGAAAAGCCAGAAUAUCACAUUGAAAAUGAUGCAAUUCAUGUAUCGUAUUCGGCUUUAUUGCUUUCUGGGCUUCGUUGUAGUGCUGUGGACUAUGAAACGUGUAAUAUAACUCAGGGUAACCUUCUGGACGAUCGUUCAAGGUAGAACUUCCGAAAAGUGAUUUCAUGAUGCGUUUUUUUCGCGAAAAUCUGCCGAUAGAUACGCGGUUUCGUUCGAAUUUCAAUCCACGGGCCUCGUGUCUGGUAUUAUGGCUUCGCUCUGAGACCCUUGGUGCUGUCACAGUCAUGUUUCUAAUCUCCUGGUCUCCGCCGUCGUUUUGAGGUUUCGAAACACGACGGAGAGCGACGAGAAAGUUCCGGUGCAGGUGUUCGGGACUUCCGCUAUUCGGUUAAUGCGGAUUUUGGGAAUCGGCUCGUUGUUUGGUUAGCAGGGUUGUGAGUUAGCUUCUCCAUGUCAUAGGGCUUAGACCUUAACCCGUGACUUUCGUAGGUUCGGUGCACCGCGUGUCACAGUUGAAGAGAGCCUUCGUCGGAUACAUACAGGUGGGUACUUAAGACACGACGUUCGUACAGUGGUGCACCUCGUCUGAAUGUUCCUUCACACCCUCUCCUAAUUCUCACAUUUGCUAUUCAUAAUACUUUGCUUAUCAUAUUUAUCCCUCAGGUUAUUACUCUAAUCGUUGUUUGCAGUGCUGCGGUAAUCAUUGUGUAAGAGUAGAAGAAAUUUCUUUCAGCAUAUGAAUAUACUGUGAUGCUGGUUGUUGGUUCUCUUGUUGUAUCAUAAGACCUGGUUGGUCGACUUUCAUACUCCCGUAUUUGUGACCUCGGUUGGUCGUAUUCUGGAUUACAUGAUGACCCAUGCGGUCGAUGGUUGACCACUGGGGGAAAGGCCCAGAUUGUCGCUCUGUUGACCGCGUGUGAGUGAGGCAUACUGCAUUUGAUCGCCGAUACUCGUCGCAUUCACGAAACCUGGCGGUCUAUCCAGUCCGGCAAGUGAUGUUGCAUUUUCCGGAAAAAGCUGGUUAAAUGGUCGACAACCUGAGCCCUAAACGGUUAAUACACUUGGAGAGUAAAGUAUGUCAUUGGCCUUAGGUUCUGCGUGCUGGCCAACGCCAAAGAGAGCAGUGGUUUCAGAUUGGUACUUUUGGAAUUGAUUUGUCAGGCCGUGUAUCGCAAUAACAUUACAGUAGUGUAGUGUGUUCAUUAUACUACAUUUCAGCACUUGUUUUAUCUUAGCUACUGUACUAUCUAAAUUAUCGUCUAUAUUGUGUUCUAUUCUUCCGUGACUUAGUGAUACCCCUCGCUCCCCUUCCCGCUUGCGGUACCCAACUGGACGGAGGAGAACAUGUUUACAUGUUCUCACCCCCCCUAACCCCAUACAGUACCGGUACAAGUGUCCGAGUGGGAACCAGCUGUGAAGGAGCGUGUUCUACCGUGUGAUAGAAGCUCCUUCCCGAGUCGUUAUUCCUUUUAUACCCCUUCAUGCUCGAAUAAAUACUUAGAAAUAUUAAUGGUUCAAAGUUUCUAUUUUAAUUAUCUGAUAUUAUCUGGUUUUUCAAUUGGUUUUGAAAAUUAACUAUAAGGAUUUUGAGUUUUUCAUUGAAAAUAAAACAGUUUUCUAACCCCUCGUGGUUAUCUGGUUUGAAAAGGAAUGGUCUCCCCAGAGUGUGGGGAUAGUUUUUUUUAAACAUUGCAUUUCUCCUGUGGUUUUAUGGAUUUAUAUUCAAAAUCAGUUUCCAGGUCAAGAAGACAUUUAAUCUGAUAGAAUGUAGAAUGUUAUUCAUAUUCAGUUUCAUAUCUGCGUGUGUGAAAAUGAAUGAUGAAUAGUUAUCUAUCUUGUUUGUUGCAUNNNNNNNNNNNNNNNNNNNNNNNNNNNNNNNNNNNNNNNNNNNNNNNNNNNNNNNNNNNNNNNNNNNNNNNNNNNNNNNNNNNNNNNNNNNNNNNNNNNNGGAUGUAACUCUUUCCACAUCUUUUAAACAUAGGAGUUUCUUUUUCUCCUUUUUUUUUUAUUUUUCAACAAUUUCAAACUCCCCCUAAAUUAGACAAUCUCACAGUUGAAAAUAAUUUUGACGAAUUUUAGUCAAUUAGAGAAUAUCCAUUCAUCAUAUCCAACACUCACAACCAAGAUGAAUUAAUCACCAAAAAUCAAAUUUGAUUUCAAAAUUUUGAUGAAUUUAUGCAAUAAGAAAUCAUAUAUUAAUUUAUCGUCAAAAUAAUAAAAAGUGGAGUAAAACCGAUAAUUAAUAUGAAUUUAACUUAAUAUGAUUGUGAAGUUAAAACCCGUUUAAACAAUCUUAAAAAAAAAAAUCUUUCAUCAAAAUAAUGAUUCUCAACCAUCUCUUUUCUCGAAAAUUUUGAAUUCCCAAACACCUUUCCUCAACAUGAUUUAUAAAUAAAAAAAAAUUCAAUGCACCAAAAAUCAUUCAACCAUGUAACGCAAUGAAUAAAAUUAUGCAACAAGCACCAAUCAAAGCAUUACACUAAAGAUCAAAAACAACUAAGACGAGAAGAAAGGAAAGAUAUCACCUUUCCGAAUCCAAACUUGUCGGAUCUUUGGUUUUCUCGGCUUGUCGACGUUUGGUGCCGUUUGCUUAGAUUUUNNNNNNNNNNNNNNNNNNNNNNNNNNNNNNNNNNNNNNNNNNNNNNNNNNNNNNNNNNNNNNNNNNNNNNNNNNNNNNNNNNNNNNNNNNNNNNNNNNNNNNNNNNNNNNNNNNNNNNNNNNNNNNNNNNNNNNNNNNNNNNNNNNNNNNNNNNNNNNNNNNNNNNNNNNNNNNNNNNNNNNNNNNNNNNNNNNNNNNNNNNNNNNNNNNNNNNNNNNNNNNNNNNNNNNNNNNNNNNNNNNNNNNNNNNNNNNNNNNNNNNNNNNNNNNNNNNNNNNNNNNNNNNNNNNNNNNNNNNNNNNNNNNNNNNNNNNNNNNNNNNNNNNNNNNNNCCAAGCUAUUUAGGUGACACUAUAGAAUACUCAAGCUUAUUCGUUUGACCCAAUCCGAGCAUAUGAUCUAGUUUCUUUGAUCCGGAAGAAAAUCGUUGAAUGUCGGAUUGAAGUUGACGAACUUGAUUGGUCAAAGACUUGUUGGAUGUGUACGAUUCCUCGAAUUGUUGCUCCAAAAAUCCAACCUUGUCUUUGUAUGAUUUGAUCAUUAAUUCCGCUUCAUUAAGCUUCUCUUGGAGGUCCGAAUUGUUCUUCAAGCUUGAAUCCCUUUCCUCCUUAAGAACCUUAUUCAAAGUCUUCAUGUUGUUGUUUUCCUCCUCAAGUUCCAACAAAUGACGUCUCAACUUCUUAUUGAGUUUAGCCAUCUUCUUUGAUUCAAUAAGAAGUUGAUUGUAUGCUUCCGCUAUGUCGUCGUCGUUUGAUUCCUCUUCACUUUCGCCAUUGUUGCUCGAUGAAUCAUAUGAAAAAAGAGAAAUAUUGGAGUUAAUAGCAAAAGAGGAUAAACACACAACAUUCGACGAAGGAGUAUUAGCAAAUAAGGCAAUUUGAUCAUUCUUUUCUUCGUCACUUGACGAUGAUUCACUUGAUGUUGAAUCAUCCCACGUCUUUGCUUGCAUAGCCUUUUGUCUAUACGUCUUCUUUGAAGGACAAUCCGUCGCAAUGUGGCCGUAGCCUUUGCACUUGAAACAUUGGAUCUCGCCUUCAAAUACAUCCUUUUCCUUUGAGGACUUUGCACGGUUUUUAUCCUUAGACUUUAAAGAUGAAGAUGAUUUAGACAAAGAUUGUCGCUUAGAUGAUGAAGCCUUGUCCAAUCUAUUCUUGUUCCGAAAAUUUUGACGAAACUUCUUCGUAAGAAGCGCCAAUUGUUGUUCAAAUUCCGCAAUUGAUAAAUCAUCGUCGGAACUCGAGUCUUCGUCCUUCUCCUUUGUAGAUUUCAAUGCAACACCUGUACUUUUAGAAGAAGACUUGGAAGAAGAUUGAUUAGUAGGAAAAGUCAUCUCAUAAGUUUGCAAAGCACCUACUAAUUCUUCGACUUUCAUCUCGUCCGGAUGCUUAACCGUUUCAAUUGCGGCAACCUUUGCCCGAAAGUGUUCCGGAAGAGUUCGAAGAAUCUUUCUAAUAACCUUAGAAUCCGGAAUUUUCUCUCCCAAGUUAGCACAUGUAUUCACAACGUCUUGUAGACGUGUAUAGUACUCGGUAAAGGUCUCGUUUUUAUCCAUGGAAAUAGAAUCAAAAUUGCUUGUUAGCAUUUGCAAUUUUUGGACCUUUACUAAGCUCGUUCCUUCAUGCGUAACUUGUAGAGUAUCCCAAAUUUUCUUUGCCGUUUCGCAAGCCGAAACACGAGUAAACUCCGUUUGAGACAUGCAUUAAAUAAAGCGUUUAUGCCCUUGCCGUUAAACGAAGAUGUCUCGUUUUCUUCUUUCGUCCAUUUGUUCCGUGGUUUUGGCUUUUCAACAUUAUCGACCUUUUCUAUCGGAUGUUUCCACCCAAAUUCAAUUGAUUGCCAAACCCGCUCAUCGAUAGCAAUUAGAAAAGCUCUCAUGCGAACUUUCCAAUAGGCAUAAUUCGUGCCGUCGAAGAGCGGAGGUCGAUUAAUGUUACCACCUUCGGCCAUUAGAUAACAAUUUAUCUAGAUCCCGCUCUGAUACCAAUUGAAAGUUUUGAGGAGCCCAAGGAUCUAUCUAGAUUGUAUCUAUCACCUAGAGGGGGGUGAAUAGGUGAACGGCCAAAAACCACAAAUCUCGAUGCAAUAAAAAUAAAUGCGGAAAAUAAAAAGCACACCGAGAUUUACGUGGGAAAACUCCAACUUGGAGAAAAACCCACGGGACCAACACGCGAAAAAAUAAUUCACUAAGAGAAAAGAUUACAAGGUGAUUACCGACUCCACGGACUCAACCUCUCUUAACCUCCUAUGAAUCUUCGCGCUACCCUCCGGGUUGUCCACGCCCUCACGUCCGAAUCCACGAACGCCUCCACUUCGAAUCCACGAAGCUUCAAUCACGCCGAAUCCACGACGCCACUCGAAUCCACGAGCCCACGAUCCGAAUCCACGAACCGCCGUCAAAUACGCCGAAUCCACGACGCCACCAUGAAGAAUAUCAUGAAUAUGGUGAUCCUUCGCUUUGGAGUAUUGUAGAAAACCAGGGAAUAGAACUCCAAGCGAAGCGGAGAUCAAAUCGACAUAUUAAUAUCAAAUUUCAAUAUCUCGAUUUGAUCUAAAAGAGGCUUUUUGUAGAAAAUAGGUUUUUGAUGAAAUCCGAGCCUCUAGGGUUUCUCAAAUAUGUAUUUUCGUGAUGCUUAAUCAGUUAGAGAACCCCUAUAGCUUAUUUAUAGACUUUAGAAUCAAAACAGAGUAGGAUUAGAAAGUUUCUUUCCAAAAUCAGCACCUUGUACCGGAACAAGGAAAGCUGUCCAGGGUACAGCAUGACGGAAGAUUUUUCUGCGAAGCUUCUGUACCCUGGAUAGGCUUCAGCUUGUUCCGAAACAGGGCUUGUACCGGUACAGCCAUGAUGGUUGUACCGGAACAACCAUCAACCACUCAGCGCAAACACUGAUGGCUGUACCCUGGACAGAAAACUCUUGUAACGGUACAACAAUGCAAUUUUCGCUGAAAAUGCAUUGCUUCGGGUUUUACAAGCUCUUAGAAACUUUCUAAUUAAUUACAACUUGAAAACAUGAUUCUAAGAUUUAUAAUUAAGUAUGAAUCACUAUAAACAAGAUUUAAAGCUUACCUAAUCAUCAUGAUUCAUGUUUUACGUGUUUUGCGUCCUUUUCGAUUCUUCGAAGUCUUGGAUUCUUCGAUCUUCAAUACGCUACUCCGGACUUCUUCAUGACUCCGACUCGACCCACGAAACUUGCCAACACAUAGGACCUAACAACGAGGAUUGCGAAGCCACCUGGGAACUCGAGGAUCUGAUGAGAAAACACCAUCCUCAUCUAUUCGAGGAGUAAGGUAUGAAUUUAAGUUAAAGUUAAGAAUUGAGUUAGUUUCGAGGAUGAAACUCCUUUUAAGGAGGGAAGGAUGUAAGGAAGUGAAUUCUCGAAAUCCGAGGAUUGUACUUCAUCCAGGAUCGACUAACUGUCAAGAGACUAACUGUCAAGAGAAUACCCAUUGUGGGAGUUAAAAAUGUCUAAAUCACAAAAAGUGUUUUGGAGUUGAGUCCGCGAGAGCAAAUAAGCAAAAAUUUGAACUUAGCAGAUUUUGCUCUCAGGGACCGGUCCCCGUAGCUGAGGGUCGCGAGGGAGGUCGACGCAACCGGUCCCUGGUUGAGGGGACCGGUCCCCGUGUGCUACACCCGCGAGAGGAAGCCUAAAUUUGGCUAAGUCCUGAAAGUUCCCCUUUCGAGAACCGGUCUCUCAGGAAAGACCGGUCUCCCAGGGAUCGGUCCCUCGGGUCAGGACUGGUUCCCGUACGCGAAAAGUCCCCAGGCUGCAAGGAGGGCUCUCGGGGACCGGUCUCCCCGACCAGGGACCGGUCCCUCUGGGCGAAAAUAGCCUAGUGACAGCUGCGUGAGAGAUGAAAAGUUGAGAGGUUUAAGUGCAAAAUGGCCAUCAUGUGAGGGGUGUAUAUGGGAAAUAACCCUCUCCCUCAGCCCUUCUCAUCUCAUUCCCUCUCUAUCUCUUUUUCUCUCUUGCUCUCUCUCUCUCUCUAGAAAAGAAAGGAGAAGAAGAAGAACAAGAAGGAGAUGAAGGAAAAGAAGAAGAAGAUAAGGAAGGAGAAGAAGAAGGAGAUCAAAAGGAAGGCUUUUGACACCUUCAUCUCCCUCUCCUUUUCUCUUUGGUGUAGCACAAGAGGUAAGCUCUUGAACCCUAGCUUCUAGAAUUUGGUGGGUUUUGGGUUUUUAUGCUUUGGAAUGGGUCAAAUGGACCCUAAGCAUGCUUCUAAGUAGAUCAAUCCCAUGAAUCUAGGGAUUUAUUGGUGGUUUGCUAUAGGUGUAAACCUAGGGCUCCAAAAUGGGGUUUUUAUGAAAGUAUGAGAUUGAUCUCAUUUGAAGCCUUGGAAACCCUAUUGUUAGGUCACAAAAUGUGGAGGCGAAGUCGGUUUUGGCAUUCGGCGAGCCGGCGUGAAGUUCUCGGCAAAAUAGGGCCGGGUUAGCAUUGAUUUGGGCAAGAAAGGCUAAAGCCUUUUCAUAAAGUUCCCCGAGAAGGAUUUCCGAAGCCUCUACAUCAAUUAAAGGUGGGGGGUGCCAUUCUGAAGCUUUCGAACUCCUUUCUAUGUCUUAGAUUGCAUUUAAUCUCAUCUCUUACAUGUUGCAUUGUAGGAUUGCAUAGUAGCUCCCUUCCUUAUGCUUUCUAAAUGAUAACCUAGUGUACUUGGAACGCUUGGUGACUUAGAUAGGUGAGGAUUGGGUCGGAACGUGGAUCUUAUGAUGCAAAAGAAAAGAGAUGUACCCGAUGGGGGUGUUGAUGACAUAGGAAGUAGUGUUAAUGUUAAAGAACAAACGAGUGGCAUCCAAAUGUUAAAUUAUGACGAGUGGCAUUAAUGUAGUGUAAGUAACACUAGAGGUUUGAGGACCUAGGGAUGGAUGGAUCCCUUAGAAAAUGCCUUGUGGAUAAAGAACUUAAUAAACCUAAGUGUCCUCACGUGGAGAGGUUGUCGAUGAGUCGAUUGAGACAUUGACCCUAGUUGUAGGGCAUCCUCACUUGGAGAGGAUUUGAUUGGGUUGUGGACCCUAGUUUAUAGUGCUUCCUCACUUGGAGAGGAUUUGAUUGGGUUGUGGACCCUAGAGGUAGGGCAUCCUCGAUAGAUCUAGCCACAGUCUGCGUUUGGGGUGGUAUAGCCAUCCAAUCCCCACAUGGAGGGGAUUGUCGUCGAGUACUCCGGAGUGUCGCGCGACUAGGACCACUUGGAGGUCCAGACCACAUGGAGGUCCACAGACGGUCCCGGGCUUGGGUGCACUUGGAGCUCCCUCCCCACUUUGGAAUUGAAGGGUGAGUUAUAGGCGAGCCCUAGGGCCUCGCCACAGAUUGGAUAAAUGGAAGGUUAAAGGUUUAACAAUGUCAUUGAACAUUACUAUUCGAAUAUGGAUCGAAUUUGUUAGCAUGGUAGCAAACCUUUAUUAUAUGAUGCAUGCAUUCAUAUUCAAGAUUAUGGGCAUAGUAGCAUAGUUUUCCUAUUAUCGCAUUUAUAAUUUUCAGAUACAUAUCUAUCUAUCUAUCUGUUGUUACUUGUGCCCACUUGGACCUAGUGGGGAGAUCGGUAAAGUCGGCGGCCGAGCCCACUGGGAACUUGUAGCACACUCGACCUUUGCAAAUUGCGAGGUUCGAGUGAUUGGAUGUGUUUCGAGCUUUUCCACACUUGGUGGAGGGUUGUAGAAUGCUUUUCCGACCAAAAAAGUUUGAAAACCUGAGUUCUGGAUGAGUCCUGAGAGUUUAUACUCUCGGGGACAGGUCCCUGGAAGGAGAGACCGGUCCCUCAGUGAGCAGUGUUACGGCAGCCCUGAGGCAACCGUUCCCUGGCAGGCGAGACCGGUCCUCGGCAGGCGAGACCGGUCCCCGAGCGCACCUUCACAGUGAGAGACCGGUCCCGCGCAGGGAGAGACCGGUUCCCGAACGUUGGUUUUUCGGGUUCGCGGCCAGAGACCUGUCCCUGCUGGGCAAAGACCGGUCCCUCUAGGCAAAAACUGCCCAGUUUGGGCUGAUGCAAUUUUAGAUUUUUGAGGGACCUAGCUGGAUUUUGUUACAUUAGAGGGUCUAUAUGAACCAUCCCCUCUCUCUUCUUCUCAUUUCCCUCCUCACACUCUCCCCACACCCUUAUUAGAGAGAGAAGGAGAAAGAGAAGAAGAAGGAGGAGAAGAAGAAGAAUGAGAAGGUUUUGGUGGACUUGGAGCAUUUCUUUGCCUCUCUUCCUCUUCCCACCUUGUUGGUGCUUGAAGGCUUGGACUUGGAGCUUGCAUAGGAGGAGAUCUUCACCCUUUGAGCUUGGAUUGAAGCUUCUUAGAGGUUGGUAGCCCUUUCUCUCCAUCUAGACUUUGGAUUUGAGGCUUUCUUUGUGUUGGAACCCUAGAAUGAGGUUUAGGGUUGAUUUUGGGGCUUUUUGAUCUAGGGCUUUUGAGGCUUACGAUUGUUGUUUAGAACGCUUCCUUGGCUUGGUUGAAGGGUGCUAGCUUCUCUUUUGGAGGCUUUGGAAGAGAUUUCUUCUCUUGAGGUGAGUUUUGCCUUUUUGCUUCUCUAGGUUAAGUUGAUCUUAUGUUUGUCGUUAUGCCCCUCGUAAUCCUUCGCUGAUCACUUUUAGGGUACUUUAAGAUCGUGGACAACCCGUCGGCAAAUCGAAGGGGCACCGCGACGGUUGUCGGUGGUGUUUCGACUGCCUAAUGAUUGAGAAAUGCUCCAUAUUUGGCAAAAAUAUGUUUCGUAAAAAAUUUUAAAGUAACAAAUUCCAUGGACAUUUCCAUGUUAAUGUAUUUAAUAUGAAUUUUAGAAUGCUUACAUAGCAUAUUUAUGUAUAGUGAAAUUUAUAGACGGCCCUAUGUUGCUAGUGCAUGCUACUGAGGAACUUAGCAUUCGUUAUUUUAGGACCAUGAUCCUUAUUAUGUAAAUGAAACUUGCUUUCCAUUCAUUUAACUACUAAUUGCAUAUUGUGACAUUAGAAAUGUUAGAAGGCCCUAGAGAUGGGCUUGAGACUUGGACUAUUGAGAAUUGGACAAUGUGAUAAAGAGCUUGGCCCGGGUCAUGGUAUCAUUGGGUUUGAUGUUUUAAGUGGAAACAUAGAACAAGAUUUGGGCUGAUCUGUUGUUGAUACUAAGUGGUCAUAAAGAGAGCACUAAGCAAGUGAGUGUUGGGACAUCACUUAGAGCAUUGGACAGAUCCUUGGCGAUCUAGUGACCUUGCAUGUUAGAGACAUGGGAUAGGAGUAUUUGAGACAGUGACCUUGCUGUUUGCCAUUGUGUGCUCAUUCGCAUCUAUGUUGUGUGGUCGUCUACGCUACAAGCGGCACCGGAGUUAGCCUACGCGACUUAUGUCGCUUGUGAUGUUUUGUAGAGAACCUACGGCGGUCGAGGGGGACAGACACAUUCAAGAGUAGGAAUGUUGGGCUACCGAGCACUAAGCGGCACAAGCUGGACUACUUUGGUAGUCCUUAUUGAAAAUGGAAUCGACACGGUGGUGAGUUUAUUAUGAUCAUACUAACAGAGAGUAGUAGUAAGGAUUACUUGGCUUCGCUUCAGAUUAGUUUGUGACAUUUGGCGUAUUCAUACUACAUGUAGUAUGCCCUAGGAGAUGUUUGUUUAUUGAUCCUUUAUGGCAUUGUAGUUAAUGACAAAAGUAUCAUUUCUAUCUAUAUAGUAGAAAUUCAUGAAUAUUACUUGUGAAGCAUAGAUAUAUUAUCCAUGGACAAGAUAAAGUCGCUAUUAUUAAAUGCCCUGUUUAAUUGAAUGCAGCUUAGAAUCUUAAUUAUGCCUUUCUUGUAUGCAAUUUACUGUUUACUAUUAUGUUAGACUUUACCCUUUCUUUGGGGGCCUAGUGUGGCAUUGAGUGAAGGUCAGUAAUUUGCACCCUGGGGAACUAUAAAUUAGAGUUCUACGCCCUCUUUUCUCAAUAUUUUUUCAGGCCCUUCAGGCAGACGGUGAGCAGUAUCGCGGGAAGGGAUGUUGUGCUUCCGAGCUAAGCUUCGUUCGAGGACCAGAGUUGAUAGGUGGUUACGUCUACCUUCUCGAUAGAUAUUUUAUUUUGCCAGAGGUUGAGGUUUACAUGUACUAGAGACCAACCAUUUUUGUACUUUUUGAUAUGAUAUGUACUAUUAUGGUUUCUUUUAUUGUCUAAGUUAUAUUUCUUUUACUACUGGUUUAAGAUGAUAGAACCUCUUAUUCGUCUUGAACCAAAUUAAUCUGUCACGUCCGGGACGCGGCGGGCCUCCGGUGGCGUGCCCAAGCACCCGCAUAUGUCUACACAUAUGGAAGCGCUACAACAAAGCGGAAGUAAAAGAAGCAAAUAGAAGAACUGAUAAUAACAAUUGCUAAUUCUCCGUCGAUUUUCGAACUUAGCGCAUCACACCAAACGUUAGCCUUUGGCCGGCGGUGGUAAUGAAUGUUGUGAGUUGUCGUGGUUUGUGCUAGAAUGUUCUUAUUGCAACAGGUGAAGGCGGAGACCGGAGUUCCUAGGCGGGGAAUUUACAGAGCCUACUUGUCUAUUCAAUGUGGAAAUGGGAAAGAUACAUGGAUUUGUGAUGGGAUUUGCCUCGCUUCACAGGUGCGCGGGCGUGAACUAUUUGGUGAUUGUGAGUAGAUUUACGGAAAUGGCCACAUUUAUACCUAUUCCACACUCUUGGACGGGUGAAAGACUCGCACAGGUUAUAUUGGACGAGAUUGUGGGCGAUUACACGGGUAACGUACUUCGUAUAGUAUCGGACGAGACCCCAUUUUGUAUCCAUUUUUGAGGAGCUUACAGGUGUUUGGUGACGCUUGGAUUCAGCAUCUGCUUUCCACUCCAGAGUGACAGGCCAGUCGGAGGUACGAUACAGAGAUUCGAGGACAUGUUCAGCUUGCGUGAAUUGCUUCCAAGAAGGAUGGUCGCAGCAUCUCGAUGGCAGAGUUUGCUUUAUCAUAACACAGUUUCAAGCAAGUAUCAGAUGCACCGUUCGAGCGCGACUCUUUGGACGGAAGUUGGUAUAGAUCGCCACUUCAUUGGCAGUGAAGUUGGACGAGAGUGUUAACUUAGGCCCAGAUGUGCUCCAGGAGGCAGAGGACAAGAUGCGCAGUUGCUGGAGCGAUUAGUUAAGCCCAGAGUAGGCAGAGGCAGUUAUGGCUGCCCGGCGUCGACGAAUUGGAGUUUCGAUUGGAGACGCAUGUGUUCUUGAAGUACUCGCGCCAAAAGGUUAGAAGAUUUGGAAUCGGGCAAGUUGAGCCCCCGAUACCAUUGGACGUGUGAUGAGUUUUGGAGCGUGUAGCCCGGUCUAGCGUUCGACUCGCUUCUACCGCCAACCUAUCGGUGUACACAAUGUGUUUCAUGUAUCGUCUUCGAAGUACUCACGCGCGCUCAUGUCUUUGGACCCUGACGCCUUUGAGUGAGGGAGGACUUGAGCUUGUAGGAGCAACUUUGCGGAUUUGCUCGCGAAGUAUCGAGAUUGCCCCGUACGGUGAGAUUCUCUUACAUGAAGGUGGCUUUGGAGCAACCUCCUACGACGACGCGAGGUCACUUGAGGAGCUGGAAGCGCACUGAGGGAGCGGCUAUCACCCAUCUUUUUCCUGACAUGGAGACUUGAGCGUACUUGUCAUUUAUUCGAGUUUCCGCGGACAGAAACUCCUUUUUAGGAGGGGUGAAUGUACACACUGGACCUUUGCAAAUUGCGAGGUUCGAGUGAUUGGAUGUGUUUCGAGCUUUUCCACACUUGGUGGAGGGUUGUAGAAUGCUUUUCCGACCUAAAAAGUUCGAAAACCUGAGUUCUGGAUGAGUCCUGAGAGUUUUUACUCUCGGGGAUUGGUCCCUGGAAGGAGAGACCGGUCCCGCAGUGAGCAAUGUUGCGGCAGCCCUGAGGCAACCGGUCCCUGGCAGGCGAGACCGAUCCCCGAGCGCGCCUUCGCAGUGAGAGACCGGUCCCGCGCAAGGAGAGACCGGUUCCCGAACGUUGGUUUUUCGGGUUCGCAGCCAGAGACCGGUCCCUACUGGGGAGAGACCGGUCCUUCUAGGAGAAAACUGCCCAGUUCGGGCUGAUGCAAUUUUAGAUUUAUGAGGGACCUAGCUGGAUUUUGUUACAUUAGAGGGUCUACAUGACCCAUCCCCUCUCUCUUCUUCUCAUUUCCCUCCUCACACUCUCCCCACACCCUUGUUAGAGAGAGAAGGAGAAAGAGAAGAAGAAGGAGGAGAAGAAGAAGAAUGAGAAGGUUUUGGUGGACUUGGAGCAUUUCUUUGCCUCUCUUCCUCUUCCCACCUUGUUGGUGCUUAAAGGCUUGGACUUGGAGCUUGCAUAAGAGGAGAUCUUCACCCUUUGAGCUUGGAUUGAAGCUUCUUAGAGGUUGGUAGCCCUUUCUCUCCAUCUAGACUUUGGAUUUAAGGCUUUCUUUGUGUUGGAACCCUAGAAUGAGGUUUAGGGUUGAUUUUGAGGCUUUUUGAUCUAGGGCUUUUGAGGCUAGAUUGGUUGGUUUAGAACCUUCCUUGGGCUUGGUUUGGAAGGGUGCUAGCUCUCUUUUGGAGCUUUGGAAGAGAUUUCUUCUCUUGAGGUGAGUUUUGGCCCUUUUUGCUUCUAGGUUAAUGUUUGAUCUUAUGGUUGGUCGUAAUGCCCUCGUAUCUCUUCGCUGAUCACUUUUAGGGUACUUUAAGACUCGUGGACAACUCCGUUCGGCAAAUCGAAGGAGCACGCGACGGUUCGGUGGGUUUGACCUAGCCUAUGAUAUGAGAAAUGCUCAUAUUUGGCAAAAUAUGUUUCGUAAAAUAGAAAUUCAUGCAUUUCCAUGUUAAAUGUAUUUAAUAUGAAUUUUAGAAUGCUUAACAUGCAUAUAUUAUGUAUAGUGAAAUUUUAGACCCCUAUGUGGUAGAGUGCAUGCAUGUGAGACUUAGCAUUCUAUUUAUGAUUGGGAACCAUGAUCCUUAUUAUGUAAAUGAACCUUGCUUUCAUGUAUUUAACCUAUAUGCCAAUUGUGACAUUAGGAAUGUUAGAAGCCUAGAGAGGGCUUGAGAACUUGGACUAUUUGAGAAUUGGGACAAUGUCAUAAAGAGGCAUUGGGCCCGGGUCAUGGUAAUCAUUGGUAUUAAUGUUUUAAUUGAAACAUAGAACAAGAUUUGGGCUCGAUCUGUUGUGAUGCUUAAGUGUCAUAAAGAGGCACUAAGCAAGUGAGUGUUGGGACAUCACUUAGAGACAUUGGGCUAGAUCCUUGGGAUGCUAGUGACCUUGCCAUGUUAGAGACAUGCGGAUAGAGUAUUUGAGACAGUGACCUUGCUUGUUUGCCAUUUGUGCUCAUUCGCACAUGCUUGUGUGGGUCGCUCCCUACAAGCCGGCACUCCGGAGUUAGCCUACGCGACUUAUGUACGCUUGUGCUGUAUUGAGAAGCCUACGGGGUCGAGUGGGACAGACACAUUCCAAGAGUAGGAAUGUUGGGCUACCACAGGCACUUAGGCGGCACAAGCUGGACUACCUUUGGUAGGUCCUUAAUUGAAAAUGGAAAUCGACACGGUGGUGAGUUUAUUAUGAUCACUACUAGACAGAGAGUAGUAGUAGGAUUACUUGGACUUACUUCUAGCAUAGUUGUGGACAUUUGGGUAUUCAUACAUACAUGUAGUAUGCUAGGAGAUGUUGUUUAUUGCAUCCUUAUAUGCAUUGUAGUAAUGACAAAGUAUCACUUUCAUAUCUAUAUAAAGUAAAUCAUGAUAUUACUUGUGAACAUAUAGAUAUAUAUUAUCCAUGACAAGAUAAAGUCGCAUUAUAAAUGCCAUGUUUAAUUGCAAGUCGUAGCUUAGCAUCUUAAUUAUGCUUUCUUGUAUGCAAUUUACUCGUUACUAUUAUUGUUAGACUUACCCUUUCUUUUGGGGCCUAGUGGUACAUUGAGCUGAGGUCAGUAAUUGCCCACUGGGAACUAUAAAUUAGAGUUCUCACGCCCUCUUUUUCUCAAUAUUUUUUAGAGCCUUCCACGCAGGGUGAGGCCAGGGAUCGCGGGAAAGGAGUUGCUUCGAGCUAGCUUCCUUCGAGGACGAGUUGCUAGGUGGUCUACCUCUCGAUAGAUAUUUUUAUUUUGCGAGAGGUUGAGGGUUUUACCAGUGUACUAGAGACCACCAUUUUUGUACUUUUGAGAUUGAUAGUGUACUACUUAUGGUUUCUUUUCUUGUCUAGUUAUAUUUCUUUUACUCUGGUUUAGAUGAUAGAACCUUACUCGCUCUGAUAUCGUUAGUUGUUAUUAUUCUAUUCGUUCUAUUUCUUGCUUUUACUUCCGUUUUGUUGUAGACGCCUUAUAUGUGUAGACAUAUGGCGGGUCUGGGCAUGCCACCGGGAGGGCCUCCGCCGGUCCCGGGGCGUGACAGAACUUUGGAAGAUAGUUCUCACCCAACUCUAUUUCUAGUGGUAGGUACAAGGCUGCCGAGGGAGGACCGUGGCAAGGGCAUCGCGCCCGAUCAGUGAGACCGUGGUAGUAUAGUAGCUUUUCUUUUUGCAUUAGUAUACCUAUGUAUUGAGAGAGAUUCAUUGUAGGUGAGGACUUGGAGAGCUAUGCAUUUUGAGAGGAAAAAUGUACUCAUUCAAAGGUUAAAUGAUGUAAAUACAAAUGAUGAAAUUAUUGUAAUAGUUAGUAAAGUACUCUCUUUAUUUCACAUGCUUUAUCUUGUGGAUUACUUGCUCUUUGUAUUGUUGGCACUGUUUGUGCCCUUGUGAAUGUGUAUGUUUAGAAUUUGAUUUUCUUGGUAAAUUCUUGUACACAUUCUUGUUGUUGAGCCUUGGGCGGACAGGGGAGGUGCUGUCCAUUCGGCAAUCCGCCGCCGCGGCCGAACCGUGCCAAAUGGGUAGUAGUUUCGGGGCGGGGCGUGACAGUUGUUGCUUUUGAGUUUCGCGGACGAAACUCCUUUUUAGGAGGGGUGAAUGUAACACGCUGGACCUAUGCAAAUUGCGAGGUUCGAGUGUUUGAUAUGGAUUCCGAACUUUUCCAUACUUGGUGAAAGGUCGUAGAUAGAAUUCCAGCCUAAAAGUUCGAUUUCUGAAAUUUUGGCUAAGCCCUGAGAGUUUUCACUCUCGGCGACCGGUCCCAGGUAGGAGAGACCGGUCCCCUCAGAAUAGUGUUACGGCAGUCUGCGAGGCAAACGGUCCCUGGCGGAUGAGACCGGUCCCCGAGCGCAUUUUCGCGGGGAGAGACUGGUCCCAUACGGGGAGAGACCGGUUCCCGAGAGCAGGUUUUGCGGGAUGGACCUGAGAGACCGGUCCCAGGCAGGGAGAGACCGGUCCCUCAGCCCGAAAACUGCCCAGUCAGGGUAGUGCACAGGUUGCAUUGUUGAGGGGCCUAAGUGGACUUUGUUGCUUGAGAGGGCUUAUAGGACAUUUCCUCUCCCUCUCACCCUCAUUUCUCUCCCUCACCUCUCUACACUCUCUAGAAAGAAAAGAAGAAGGAGAAGAAGGAGUAGAAGGAGAGCAAGCUUGGAGGCCUUGGAGCAUCUCCCUCUCCCUAGUUUCUCACCUUUGGUGGCUUGGAGCUUGUGGUUGGAGCUUUGUGGAGGAUCAAUCUUCAACCCUUGAGGAUUUUGAGCUUGGUUUGGAGCAUCCUAGAGGUAAGUGGCUAGUUUUCUUCCUCUAGAUCCUAGUUUUAGUGGAUUUUGGGAGAUAAAACUCUAGAUUUGAAUUUUAGGGUUUAUUUUAGGGAUUUUUAAUUUGAGGGCUUUGGGACCCAAUUGAUUGGUUUAGAACCUUCCUCUAGAUUGGUUUGGAAGGGUUCUUGCUCUCUUUAGAAGCUUGAGAAGGGAUUUCUACACAAGAGGUGAGUUAUGCCCUCUAUACCUAGAUGGUUAAAGAUUGAGCUUAGUAUUAUUCGUAAGGUCCAUUUGACUCUUGUUCCUACAUCUUUAGGGUGCUAGGAGACUAGUGGGCAUCUUCGUCGGAGCACACGAAAGGUUUCGUGAAGUCGCGGUGGGUUUGGCUUCAUUGGAAUAGGAGAAAACUUCUCCUAAGUGGUUCAAUAUCUUCGUUUCAUCGCAUCGCAUAUAUAUUCAUGCUAGAUAGAAUUUAUGUGAAUUUUAGAAUGCUUAAAAUGCACGUGUUAUGUAUUAUGAAAAUUCAUCUUUAUAUAGUAGAGCCUUAUGUGGACUUAACAUGCAUGUGAAUAGCAUUCUUCUUGUGGUUUGAAAACAUGUCUCAUAUGACGAAAAUGACUUGAAUUAUGUAUUCUUGAACACUAAACUCAUGAUUGGACUUAGUGGACGAAAGUGCCAUAAAGGGGCACUUGAACUAGUAAACUGUGAAACUGCAACAUAGAGGCAUGGAAAUAGGCCAUUGUGACAUCGACUAUAUUCCGUGUUUUAGACACGAUGACAUAGUGAUAAGCCAUUGAGACAUAGGUUAUAUUCCAUAUUUUAGACAUGAUGACUUGAGACUUGAGACAGAUUUUACGCUUGCUUGCCCUUGUGCUCAUUCGCACAUGCUUGUGAGGGUCGCUCCCUACAAACCGGCACUCCGGAGAUAGCCAUCGCGACAUAUGCUCGCCCGUGCGGGAUUCGGCGCCUAAAUGGAUUGCCGUGGGGGGGGCUCGUUCCUAGAGUGGGAAUGUUGACUACCACGGGGCCAUUAGGCACGGCACAAGCCAGACAGCCUACGGGUGGGUCUUACAAGAUUGCAACUAUAAGUAGUUGGUAUGCCAAAUGGACUUGAACUAGAAUAGUAAACAAUGACAUCUUACUAUUUUCGUUGUGGACAUUAUGUUGGUUGCAUACUCAUGCGUAUUCAUGUUAGCAUAGCUUUCUUACUUAUGCAAAUCAUGCUAAGUAGAGACAUCAUCUUAUAGCCAGCAUUCAUGUUUAGUUACUUGCUGUUCAUUUCAAUAUUUACUCACUUCUACUUACUUGCCUUGUUUUGGGCCUAGUGGUGCUUUUCACUGAAGUCAGUAAUUGCCCACUGGAAACUAUUAUUUAAUAGUUCUCACGCCUCCUGUUUUAUGGUUUUAUUUCAGAGCCUUCGGCACCGGCGGAGGCACGGAUUCGCGGCAAGGGAGUCGCAUAGCUAGAUAGCAGAGCUUGCUGUUGCUCCUAGGUGGUCACUCUCUUCUUUUUGGUUUUGUGAGAGAGAGAGUUUUGUUACCAUGUAUAGAGACUACCCAUAUUUUUAUGUUUAGCAUUUGUAUUUGGGAUUCUUCUUGUACUACUUCAUGCUUUUAUCUAGUGGACUUUCAGUUUUAUGUUGAUUUCUUUUAUUGUUGCUCAUAAGAUACACUUUGCUCUGAUACAGCUAGAUGUUUUCUCUCUUCUUGCCGUAUUUAUCAUUUUGUUUUAGACGCCUUAUAUGUUUUAGACAUAUGGCGGGUCUGGGCAUGCGCUGGGCGGGCUUCCACUGGGUCCCGGGGCGUGACAGAGUGGUUGUGUCGGCGGCCGACGACAUGACGCUAAGAGCCUGGAAUGAGAACGCAUGUGUACUUCCGCCCGAUUUUAUUGUCAAGCUAUUUCGUUUCGUAAUUGCGACGGCAUUAACGGGUUAAAUAAUUAACCAAAUGUUUGCGUUUCAGGAGCUAAUGGCACCGAAGAGACGCUAUGUUCGUAGGACCGCUCCGGCACCCCCUCCUGAGGUGCCAGAGCCAGCCGUGCCUCCUGUGGCGCCAGAGUUGGCUGGGCCUAGUGAGGUGCAGGAGUUGCGAGCACAAGUUGCCACACUAGCUGGACGGUUCGAUCGGCUCCAGGGGUUAUUGGAGCAGCAAGCAGCGGCGGCGGCCGCGGCAGCAGGUCAAGGUCGUGAUCCGCCCGCGCCUUCGGCUUACGCUCCUGAUGCGGCAGAGGGUGAGGGUGCUACGGCGGCACCGGUGGAAGUGCAACCCGCGCCGGUGGACAUCCCUCCUACGGCGUCGAGUUCUCCUACGCCCAAUGUGGCGACUGAGGAGGUAGAGCGAGAGCGUGGUUACAUGGCUCUCACAAGGUUUACGAAGUUCUAACCGCCCACGUUUAAUGGAGAAGUGAUCCACCCGCCCACGUUUGAUAGAGAAGUGAUUGAUCCUUGGACAGUGGAGACUUGGUUGGCCACGAUGGAGACCCUGUUCGAGGACAUAUACACUCAGGAGCAGGAUAAGGUGAAUUUGGCCGCGCAUUGCUUCGAUAAGCGGGCCAGGGUGUGGUGGAAGAGAGUAAAGCAAGAUCAAUCUCCGGAUCUUCCCCCGAUCAAUUGGGAGGAAUUCCGAAGAUUAAUGUUUGCGGAGUACUUCCCCGACAGCAAUAGGAGGAAGAUGAGGGAGGACUUCAGAAAGCUUAAGCAGGGUAAUCGCACGGUUCGGGAGUAUGAGCGGGAGUUCACCUAUCUCCUGAAUACGUCCCGGACGUGGCGAGGAUGGAGCAAGAUCGGGCUGAUUACUUUGUAAGGGGACUCCGACCCUGAGUGUUUCGGUUGGUUCAUGCCUUCAAGUUUCACACUUUUGCGGAGGUUUUAGACUGCGCUUUGUGGGUUGAGCACGGGAAUGCUUGCGAGCGAGAGGAUCGCGAGGCGUUCGAAAAGGAGAAGGGAAAGAAGUGACUUCGUGGUGGUUCGGGGGGACAGUCGAGUUCCAGGAGGCCCCCGAAGUAUCCACGAUCUCAGUCUAAGGGCCGUGGAGCGCAAUGGUGUAUCUUUUGUGGCGAAGAUCAUCGAGCUGGAGUGUGCGAGCAGAGGCGUGGGAGGUGCUUCAAAUAUGGGCAAGCGGGACACAUUGCACGAGAAUGCUCCGCUGGUGAGGUUUCCCCCGCCCCGUCUGUCGCGUUAGCUCUGGCGAUCCCGACCCGCUAUGGGGUUCCACCUGCUGCGACUUCCGCGGAGCGCGCGUUAGCGCCAUGCCAACCUGAACCGGCACGAUCCGCUCCGAGCGGAUUGAUGUUUGCCGCUUAUGUUCAAGCCGAGAAGCCUGCUGAGGCGGAGGAGCAUCGCUUUGUGGCAGGUAUGGUUUUGAUUAACGGAGUUCGCUCUAGGGCUAUGUUUGAUACAGGUGCCCCACAUUCAUUCAUCAGUAGAUCAUUUGCACGCAUGCAUAACAUACUAAUAGAGGCGAGUGACGGAAAGUGGCGAGUAGAGGACCCUGGGCCGGCAUUUAACACCUAUACAGAGUGUUCAUCGUGCCCAGUGCAAAUAGGCGACUGGAUAAUGCCUAUCCGGAUGCUGGAACUCAAGAAAUUGGAGGAGUUCGACAUCAUUUUGGGCAUGGACUGGCUCUCGAAGUAUUAUGCAACGAUCGAUUGUAAGAGUAGAAUGAUCACAUUUCGAGAGCCAGGAUAGAAGGAGUUCGUCUAUCGGGCCUGUCAAAGCUCGUGCUUCGCCGCGACAGUAUCGGCGACGAGGGCUAGGAAGUUGGUUAACAGCGAUUGCCCAGCAUUUUUGGCGACUAUUGUGGAAGUGGACCGAGUGGCUCCAGCUUUAGAGGAGCUGUUAGUCAUGCGGGAAUUUCCAGAUGUAUUUUCCGCGGAGUUACCAGGAAUGCCACCGGACCGGGAGAUCGAGUUCAUGAUAGACUUGGUUCCCGGGACCGCGCCGAUCUCGAAGGCUCCGUACCCCAUGGCGCCGGCAGAGUCAAAGGAGUUGAGGGAUCAGUUACAGGAUCUUUUCGACAAGGAGUUCAUAAAGCCGAGCGUAUCGCCAUGGGGAGCUCCGGCGUUAUUUGUGCGCAAGAAAGACGGCUCGUUUCGACUCUGCGUGGAUUACCGCGAGUUGAACAAGGUCACUAUAAAGAACAAGUACCCGUUGCCCCGAAUCGACGACUUAUUUGAUCAGUUACAGGGGUCGUGAGUGUAUUCAAAGAUAGACCUGCAAUCCGGCUACCACCAAUUGAAGAUUAAGCCGGAGGAUGUGCAAAAGACCGCGUUCCGCACGUGGUAUGGGCACUACGAGUUCACAGUGAUGCCAUUCGGGCUUACAAAUCCCCCGACUGCGUUUAUGGAUCUGAUGAACCGGGUGUUCAGGGCGUGUUUAGCCCGAUUUAUCGUGGUCUUCAUUGACGACAUCUUGGUCUAUUCACGGAGCGAUAAGGAGCAUGCGGAGCAUUUGCGCAUUGUGCUUCAAAUCCUUCGGGAGGAGAAGCUAUACGCAAAAUUGAAGAAGUGUGACUUCUGGCUCCGAGAAGUUGCUUUCCUAGGGCACGUGAUUUCCGAGGGCGGUGUUUCAGUUGACCCGAGGAAAGUUGAGGCAGUCAAGGAUUGACCACGCCCAACGAAUGUCACCGAGGUCCGAAGCUUUGUGGGCUUAGCGGGCUAUUAUCGACGGUUCGUGGAGGGUUUCUCGAAGAUCGUGACCCCACUUACCCGUCUAACGCAGAAGGGCGUUAAGUUUUUUUGGAGUGACGAAUGCGACAGGAGUUUCAACGAGUUAAAGGAAAGAUUAACUUCGGCUCCGGUGCUCGCCUUACCAGUGCAAGGCGAGGAUUAUGUAGUUUAUAGUGAUGCAUCCUAUCUGGGUCUAGGGUGUGUCCUGAUGCAAGGCGGGAAAGUGAUCACUUACGCUUCUCGUCAGUUGAAGGGCUAUGAGAAGAACUAUCCCAUUCAUGACUUGGAGUUGGCGGCGGUGAUCUUUGCUCUGAAGCUAUGGAGGCACUAUCUGUAUGGUGCACACUGCGAGAUCUACACCGACCAUAAGAGUUUAAAAUAUUUGUUUAUCCAGAAGGAGCUUAAUAUGCGGCAGCAGCGGUGGUUAGAGCUGUUAAAGGACUACGAUGUUGACAUCCUAUACCACCCCGACAAAGCGGAUGUAGUCGCGGAUGCGCUUAGUAGAAAGUCGGCGGAGAACCUCGCUAUGUGGGUUACAAAUCAAACGCCCCUAUGGUUGGACAUGGAGCGAAUUGAGCUCGAGGUUGUGACUCCGGAGAUUCCGACUAAAUUGAUGGCGCUAGUGGUUCAACAUACCUUAUUAGAGAGGAUUAAGAGUCUGCAAUCUGCGGACCCGAAUCUCCAAAAGGUGCAGCGCAGCGUUGAGGAAGGCCAUGGUGGCGAUUUCAGUGUAGACGCCGACGGUGCACUUCGGUUUCGAAACCGGUGGUGUGUAUCCGAGGAUAAGGAGCUUCGCGAGCUGAUUUUGCAAGAAGCACACCGGUCUCCAUAUGCUGACCACCCGGGCGGCACCAAGAUGUAUCAUGAGUUGAGGUCGCUCUACUGGUGGCCAGGGAUGAAAACUGAUAUUGGGCGCUUCGUGGCGAAGUGUUUAACCUGCCAGCAGGUAAAGGCGGAGCGCCGAUUUCCAGCGGGGAAGCUUCAAAGCCUACCUAUUCCCGUUUGGAAAUGGGAGAACAUAUCGAUGGAUUUCGUCGUCGGCUUGUCUCGCUCGACGGGAGGCCACGACGCGAUUUAGGUAAUCGUGGAUCGCUUGACGAAGUCGGCACACUUUUUACCGGUCCACACUACUUGGGCAGGUGAUAAGCUAGCGCAGGUUUACCUCGACGACAUAGUGAGGUUGCACUGGGUGCCGAGUCCAUUGUGUCGGAUUGAGACCCAAGUUUACUUCGCACUUCUAGAAGAGCCUGCAGGAAGCCCUUGGCACACGACACGACUUCAGCACAGCGUUUCAUCCCCAGUCAGAUAGACAAACUGAGAGGAUCAUUCAGACUCUGGAGGAUAUGUUGCGAGCGUGUGUCAUAGAUUACAGAGGAGGUUGGUGCAAGCAUCUGCCGAUGGCCGAGUUCGCCUACAACAACAGUUAUCGUGCUAGUGCGGAGAUGGCACCGUUCGAGGCUCUUUAUGGGCGGAAGUGCCGAUCUCCCAUUUAUUGGAGUGAUGUGGACGAGCGUGCGGAAUUUGGCCCCGAAGUGUUGCGGAAGGCGGAAGAGAAAGUCCGCCUUGCCCGUAAAAGACUACUCACGGCACAAUCUCGACAGACGAGCUACGUGAAUAAGCGUCGUAGGGACUUGGAGUUUGCGGUAGGUGACCGUGUCUUCUUGAAUGUUUCGCCCAUGAGAGGCGUUAAGCCCUUCGGAGUGCGGGGAAAGCUAAGUCCCCGGUUUAUUGGUCCUUAUGAGAUCUUGGAGCGGAUUGGGACGGUGGCCUAUCGGCUAGCAUUGCCACCGAAGCUUGCCGAUGUGCAUAAUGUAUUCCACGUCUCCAAUCUCCGCAAAUACGUACUUGAUCCCGAGCACGCAAUGUUGUACGAUCCGCCAGAACUUCAAGAAGAUUUGAGUUUCGAGGAGUUUCCGAUGGCAGUUAUCGCUCGAGAGGUGCGUAAGUUGAGAAAUCGAGAAAUUUCCUAUAUCAAGGUCCGGCGGAGCAAUCACAAUGAUCGCGAAGCCACCUGGGGGCUCGAGGAUGAAAUGAAGGCGAAUCACCCUCACCUAUUUGAGGAUUGAGUUGAGGUAUGAUUUAAAGUUAAUUUGAAUUAAGUUUAAUUAAGUUGAGUUCGUUUCAAGGACGAAACUCUUUUAAGGUAGGGAGGAUGUAAGGAAGUGAAUUCUCGAAAUCCGAGAAUUGAAAUUCGAUUAGAAUCACUUCUUGUCGUGUUGGUAUGCUUCGGAAAGUCCGAAGAUAUCAAAAUAGCAAAAAGUGCAUUGGAAACGGACCCGCGAGAGCAAACGAGCUAAUUUGCUCAAGUGCAGAUUUUGGUACUCUCCGGGACCGGUCCCUCUUGGAGAGGACCGGUUCCCGUAAGAGAGAUUUGAGGAGUUGCUCUUAGGGACCGGUCCUUCCUUAGAGGGAUCGGUCCCCGUACCACGAAAUGCCCAAGUAUGGGCUGUCUCAUAGAUGCAAAGUUGAGGAGUUUUUCAGCAAUUGUAGCAUGGGGGAGGGGGUUAUAUGCUAUUUCCCCUCUCUCUUUCCUCAUUUCCCCUCUCCCACACUAACAUUUCCUCUCCCUCUCUCUCUCUAGAAGAAGAAGAAGAAGGAGAAGAAGAAGAAGGAGAAGAAGAAGAAGAAGGAGACAAAGGAGGAGAGGAACAUCUCCUCCAUCUUCUUCAAGAUAGGAGCAAGCUUUUGGAGGUAACCUCCAACUUGGUUAAUGGUGGAUUUCUAGGGUUAAGUCCAAAUACUCUAGAAUUGGUUUUGUUGGAACCUAAUGGUGUUUAAUAGAUGAUUCUAGCAUGAAUCUAGGGUUUUGUUGGUAUAGUUUGCACUAAUUGCAAACCUAGGGCACCCAAAAUGGGUUUUUGGUUGUUGAAGGGUUGUGAUAUAAUUGAAGCAUGUGUUAACCUAAUUGAUAGGUUUUCCGACGUGUAGGCGAAGACGAUUCGAGGAUCCGUCGAGCGGGUGUGAAGUUAUCAUCAAAAGAGACCCUCGGAGCUUCGUUUCCGCCUAGAAGGCCAACGAGGCGUCGUAAAAUCGGCGAAUCGUAUUCCAAGAGUCGCGACGUCGACGAGGUGGGUGGUGACCAUCCCGAAGCAAUUGAGCUGCCCCCUAUGUCUGAGUUCAUUGUUGAUCAAGUUUGCAUAUUGAGCAUGAUACAUAUAGGUGCUAGAUGGUUAUUGUUUGUUGCUUACACUUGCAUGCUAGUGGUAAUGUAACUUAGUUGAUUUAGCCUUUGAUCCUAGUAUGCAUGAGUACUAUGUGAUAUAGCUUAAAACCCUAUAUGUGAUGCUGUAUGGUGAAUUGGAACCUAGGUGAAUGAUAGCCUAGUGAUAGUGUGCAAGCGGUGUAUCAAGGACACUUAAAUUGAUGACGAGUGGCAUCUAGUUAAUGUAAACCUAUGACGAGUGGCAUAUGAGAAUCUUAGUGUAGUUGAAACACUAGGAGGUUGAGUAUUGAACAUAUGUUGGAUUUGAUGAUUAUAACCCUAGUCGGUAGGGUAUCCUCUCUAGUUUGAGGAUUGGAUCGUGCUCGUGUAGCCUGUUACGCUUUUCGUGGUCGCUCCACACAAGCCGUGCACUCCGGAGGUUGGACUAACGUACUUGUCCGCAGGCGGUCUCGGUGGGCAGAGCGUUUAAAGUCUUUUCCCCCUUUUGAGACUUUGAGACGAGAGUUUGAGGCAAACCUGCGGGUUGGCCAAGUAAUUAGGUAAACAGUUUAAUGAACCUCAUUGUUGAACAUAGUAGCUAGUUCUUUUACUAUGAGUUGCAUGCAUGCAUGUUUACAGAUUGAGGCAUGGUAGAUUACUUUCAUAUCUACUUGUUGUUAUCGCUUUCCAAUUAUCUAUCUAUCCGUAUAUCUAUCUAUGCUUCCUUAGACCUAGUAGGGAGAUCGGCGGAGUCGGCGGCCGAACCCACUGGGAACUAUUUGUAGUUCUCACCCCACCUUGUUGCAGUACAGGUACUUUUCUCGACCUAUACAAGGCGGAUGUUUAUAUUUUGGAAGAUCAAAUGUAAUCAAAUGUAUAAAGUUGUAUCAAAAAAGGUUGAAUGAAUAUAAUAGCUUAGCAUCUCUCUCUUUUAUUCACUUGUAUGUUUAUUACUCGUGAUGCUUGCUCUCGCUUGUUUGGCACUGGUUGUGCUCUCGCUGUUGUUAUUUGAUCGUGUGUGGAUUCAAGUGUAUUCCUGGGAACUUGUUGUACAUGAUCUUGUCACUUGAGCCUUGGGCGAACAGGGGAGGUUCUGUCCAUUCGGCGUCUGUUCGACGCGCCCGAGCCGGACCAAAUUGGUAGCGGGUCUCGGGGCGUGACAUCAAUAUUUGCUAUGCCACUAAAAACAACUGUAGGUUCAUCUAUCACACGUCGUGAGGCUCUAGCUAAUCGUUGCCUCUCUUGCCACAAUCCCUAGCCUUUCCCGCUGCGGAAGGCUCUGAAACAAAACAACAAAACAAAGAGCUUGAGAACUAUUAAUCAAUAGUUUCCAGUCGGCAAGUCGCCGACCUCAGCGAAAUAUACCGCUAGGCUAACCGAGGUAAUAGAUAUGAUAUAGGAAGAGUAAAAAAGUAAAUGCAGCAAUUAAAUAAGCAGUUUCUACUAUAUCAUGCCUCUACAUGAAGUACCUCUAAUAUGUAUGGGAAUUCCAUCAUUAAAAUUACAUGCAUAAGUAAUUAUGUAGGCAACAAUAAAACACUAGUCCAUAUUUAAACCCUGAAUAGUUAUAAUGGUGUAAUUCUCGCAUUGUCAUUGACAUCAAAUCAUUAUAGUCGUCAUAGAGCUAUCCUUCUAUAUUUAACUUCACAAGUGUAGGUUACUAUCACUAAGGUGUCAAUGCAACAAUGCCCCACAAGGAUACCUCUCUACUAUGAAUGCAUCGAAUCUCAACAUAGGGUAACCAACCACUAGUAUGACCAUUUACUAGGUGUGCAUCCACUAGUAUGACUACCAUAAUGUCAGGUUUAAUUAACUCUUGGUUAACAUAGUUCAAUUCAUCAGGACCUACACAAGUGUAGUCUGGCUUGCGCCGUGCCUAAUGGCCUGUGGUAGUCCAAUAUUCUCCUGCAAGGAAUGAGCCUGUCCCAAGUCGACCCAGUAGGCACCGAAUACUGCACGGCGAGCAUCUAUAGCAUAGGCCAACUCCGGAGUGCCGGCUUGUGGGGAGCGACCCUCACAAGCAUAUGCGAUUGAGCACAAAUGGCAAGCAAGCAUGAUCAUCAUUACAAGUAUACGGUCGCCAUGUCUCAACAUGGUAUAAGUACUAGCAACCCCAAAGGUCUAGUUCUAUGUCAAAGCGCACAAGUUUAACCAUUCACUAAGUCCAAUGCCUCUUUAUGACAUUGUUGUUUUCUAUGUUAUAGCACAUGUCCAAAGCACAUGAAGGUCCACAUUUCAUUCAUUGAUUCUAUUAAGGGUGGUUCUAUGUCUCAUACAUGAACCUACCCAUGUGUGCUACUACGACCAUCAUGCUCUAUGCAAAAAGGGUAAUCUUUUAAUGUCAUGUAUGUCAAAUUCCAAAAAUAAUUUAACUCAGUGGUAUGUCUCUACUAAUAUGUCACAUGACUCUACACACAAUGUCCACGUUUUAUUCGUUCCAAUGGGAAUGGUUCGAUGACUCAUUCAAGAACCUAACGGGCUUCACUCAUAUGCCAGUGUGUGAUAUUUCCACUAAAAUGCAAAAGUUGAUUUUCAUUAAACUACUCAAGUGUGUACUUUGUCAUUUACAUAUCAAUUGCAUAUUCCAACACAAGAAUCUCCUACAUGCCUAUAGCAUAAGGUUUCAUCUAACAACUCAUAGGAUGGGUAAACCAUAGUGUUUACAAGCGUAUAUAUAUACCUCACUACCUGAGCCUCCUCUAUAUAAGGUACAACAUUAUUAUGCAAAUAAAUGGCUUCUUUACUCAUGCAACAUGUACUACUACAUGCUUUACUACCGAGAGUGUAUCAACCCUCUACAUGUCAUAUGGAUGUCAAGUAUUCGAACUUCAUCAAUCAUCGUGUCGAAAAUACGAAAUCUCAUUUAUCAACUCAAGGGUCAAUAUAAAGUUACCCGGUUAACUUAGUUGUUCAUCUAACUAAGUACAACAUUCAUGACUCUACAUCAAAUGGUUAACAUGUAGUGCAUCAUACUCAUCAUUAUCUAUCAAGUAAACUAGUUGCAAAGUCCACUAGUUCCAUUAGCCCUCUAGAGUCUCAAAUGACCUAGAAUUCAUCUCUAAGCCCUCUAGAGUCUCAAAUGACCUAGAAUUCAUCUCUAUUAAGCAUUACUACAGUGCAAUAAAAGGAACAUGUCAUCGUACUAUAACUUCAUAGGUACAACAUGCAUGAUUUCAUCUAUUGUUCUCUACUACAUAAAGUAUACAAAAGGUUAUACAUGACAUGUAUUCUCAAGCACUCUAAAAUUCUAUCAUGGCAAAAAUAUCAUGAUUAUGCAACAAUUAAACCCUAUAACAUCAUAGGAGGCAUAGGGGGGAGUUUACCCAUUUUGGUGAGGUCAAACCCACCGAAUCACACCCGAACGCAUUCAUUCCUUCAAACAAAGUUGUCCACCGAACUUCUAACACCCUAAGAGAAAUUCUAAAGGGUUGAAAACUUUCAAAUAACUAUUUCGAAAAUCUUCGAAAAUUACACAUGCAAAAAGUGUAAAAUUACCUUAGGUCAAGAAGAACUUGAUCGAAGCCCAAAUCAAAGCUAGAAAGCUUCAAAUCCAACCUAUAAGAGUGUUCUACAUUCAUCAAUUCUAUCUCAAAAGCUCAUAAUAAGAAAGCCUCAAAAUAAACCCUAAUUUUCCAAAAACUAGGUUUUCUCCCAAAACUCAAGCAAAUCUCUCAAAUAGAGGUUAAGAGAAGAUUUCUAACCUCAAAACAAGCUUGAACUUGAGCCAUCAUGUACUAAGGUUGAAGUUUGAAUCAUCCACAAGCUCCUCUCAUCACCUCCAAGCUCUAAGAAGCAAGCAACCAUGGAGGAAAGGAAGAAAAAGAGAUCAAUUCUCAAAAACCCAAGAGAUUAGUGGAGAAAAUCUAGAGAGAAUGAGAGAAAAACCCACCUCUAGUCCCUCUCUCAAGCCUCAGCCAGCUGAGGAACAAAUGGGGUGAAGGGGUAUAUAAAUACGUUGUAACAAUAUCAACUCAAACCCCUCAACCUUCAAAAUUUACAAACUGCACGAGCUGCAGUUUUUCCCACUACGUACUGGUACGCGGGAAAGAGUACCAGUACCAAGCACAAAAUCCUGCUCAAUCCGAGCCUCGGUCAAGCUUCCAGACUGCGGCGUACCGGUACUCGGCCGAUGUCGUACCAGUACUCCAGCCCCUAAAAUUUGCAGUUGUUGAUUUUGAUACCAAAAGCCUAUUCUCAUGUUAAAUAAGCUCCAGAAUAGGCAAGUACCAUACAUGUAAUCCUCAAAAACAUCCCGAAUAGAUUAAAAUACUAUUCUUACAUUAGAACCUUGCAAUUUGCAGAAGUUUAGUGUGUUACAUAGAGCCUCUACGGAGUAUUAUAGAUGGAUCCGUGAUCAUCUUUCUUUUUAAGAUAUAUUAUGUAUGUAUUUAAAGAUCUACUAAAUUCAUGUGGAUUCUGUUGGUUAUACCGAUUGUAUAUCUUGAGGAUGUUGAUGUUUUAGACUUUUAGUGAUUUUAUCUACUUGCUCUGAUAGCCUUGUUAGGGAUCUGCUUUUGUUUAUUCUUUAUUUUAGUAGACGCCUUGUGUGCAUCGGGGGUGCUUGGUGUGCAUCGGGGGUGCUUGGUGUGCACGGCGGGUCUGUGCAUGCAUCGGGUAGGCUUCCGUUGGGGCCUGGGCGUGACAUCUCUCUUCUCCUCUCUCUUCCAUCUUCUAGCAAGAAGGACGUCCCUUGUAAAGGAGCUAGCACUUCGGUGAGGACAUCAAUCAAAUCACCAACCUCUUGUGGAUACUUAUAGAGGCCGGACGCGUGUACGGCUUCACCAGAACCUAAUUCCAUGAUCAUCAAAUUGUGGUGAAAAUUUAUCCGCGCAAAGGUAAAGAUUAGGUCUUGUUUUUCUUCUUUAAUCUUAAAGAAUAUAAGGGAUCUUAUUUGUGUGGUUUUCGAGAUCGGAUUUCGAGUUUUAAAAAUCAAAUUUGUUUGAUUUCUUUUUCCGCUGCGAUUUUAUCGUACGCAAAUUUUCUAAUACUCUAAACUUUAAACCAUUUUGAAAUUGACCUCUGAAAAUUUUUUAUUUGAUUUACACCUCCUCAACUUACAAACUAUUUGAUUUAGGCCAUUCCAUUAGUAAUCUUGAAAAUUUUAUUAGAAUCAAACACUCACGUUAGAUGGAUGUGAUCAAUAUAUUGCUUUAGUAAAAAAAGAGGAAAGAAAUUUUUGAUAAUAUAAAGAAGUAUGGAUGUAGUAUAUAUCUUAUUAUUCAAAAUGAAUCAAACAAAGUUAAGUAGAAUAAUUUUGCUUUUUUUUUUCUCGACUAAAACAAUUUUUUGUCAUAUUCAUCUCUCGCAAGUGUUUGAUUUUAACAAAUUUUUUUCCCAAUUAUUGACGAAAGGACCAAAAUCCCCAAAAUUUUUAGCGAAAAGACCCAAAUCAAAUAAUUUGUAAGUUGACAGUGGCAAUCAAAUGGCAAAAAGUUUAGAAGGUUAGUUUCAAAAUAGAUCAAAGUUUUUAACCUAAAAAUUAUUGAGUAAAACUAUUUGUACACCCAAAAGUUAAAGGCAUAUCUUACAACUUUAAGUAUCUCUUUUAUAUUUAAUAUUAAAUAAUUAUUAUGACUAGUAUUUAUCAAUAUAAGCUUAUGAAAGGGCGAUAGGGUUGGAGCCCUCCCCGCGUUUUGCGCUCUCCGCCCUCCCGUACGGCGGCCCCCCCCUCCCUUCCGAUUUUUCCCCCUUUCCAUUUCGUAGCCCGCCCCGCGUUUUGCGCUCUCCGCCCUCCCGUACGGCGGCCUCCCCCCAUCCCUUCCUCCGUUUCGUAGCGGCGAUAGGGCUCGAGCCCUACCCGCGUUUCGCGCUCUCCGCCCUCCCGUACGGCGGCGCCCCCCCCCCUACCCGCGUUUCGUAGUGGCGACGCCAACGCUGUCCUCCCUCGGGAACACCGUCGCAUCCUCCCAUACGCGGCGGCGUUGCCCCCUUCGCCGUCCUUUCGUCCUCUCCGCCUUGACUCGCCCUGUUGCCUGUCCCGUCCGACGUCCCGUCUACCUUAUUCCGUACUCUUCGCCUUCUCCCGCCCUGUUGCCUGUCCCGUCUGCCAUCCCGUCCGCCUGUUCCCUUCCGAUAGCCCGUAGGACUGGGGGGUGGCAUUGUGCCGUCGGUGGUGUGGGCGGCGACUUUUCCUCUACCGCACGUUCUCGGUUGUGCAGGUCGGCGUGGCUUCUUCGUACGGUUGGUGGUCAGUAUGCAUUAAUUUAUUAUUAUUAUAUUUAACGCGAUCGCAGCCCACUUCGCGUGAGGCGUGGCGCUUGCGGGCUCUCUCUCGCUCUCUUUUCUGCUUUACCUGGCUAUAAAUACUGAACGGUUUGGCAUGCCCGAUCUUUUUCUUCUACUUCCCCCGGUAUUUUGUCCCCUGUUUUUUAGCGCGGUUGUCCUGUCGUUUUUGCCUUGUGGUGCUCUUUGUUUUGUGGGUGUUUACUUUGUGCGGCUUUUUUGCUUGAGUCAUGGCAGCCGUAGUUGUGGAAAUCUGUUUCCGAGAUUUCCUGCGCAUUAUCUGUCAGCGAUUCUCUUUGGCAGCACCUGCGUACGGGAUCCCAAUUGAAAAUGGGGGCUUGCUUAGUGCUUAUGUUGAAGUGGAGGUUCCUAGAGGAGAGAUUGUUAUGGAGACAAUCCGUUGCUGGGGCGCGUUUUGCUCUACUGUCAAUGAGACAGAGGAGGACGCCGCCUGUCGUGCUGUUGCGAGAUUACGUGAUGAGUUUGGUUUUGAGGUCAAAGAUAGUAAUCUAGAAGAGAAGAAAUUUUUAAAGAGCCUAUAUGAGCGUGUUUCUGCUGAUUAUAGCUUGCUUCGUAGUAAAUAUAAGCGCCUCAGACGCGACUGCAACCUCUUAAAGGGGUACUGCAGCUCUCUCCUUGCUGAGAAAGAGCAACUUCUUUCGGACCGGAGGGAGUUCAAGGAUAAUUUGCUUAAGUGCCUUGCUUCGGUGAAACAGUGAAAGAUUGGUGUGGUCUGCCCAUGUAAUAGCUGGGGUGUUCCUGAGGAAGGACCGGCAGCGUAUCCGGGUUAUUAUGGUGGUAGGGAUUGACAAAACCUUGGGCUUUUUUGAGAUUUUUUUUUUUUUUUUUUUUGGCUAGGAGUCGUGUUUGUAUAACCGGUGAUUUUACUAUAUGCUUUUUCGUUUUGGGUUUGAAUUAGGUGCUCUACUAUUAUGACUAAUGAUGGCUCUACUGUGUGAGAAGUAAUGUUUUGUCCGCUCUUUAAACACUACUUAUAGUUAUAGAUGUGUUGUCAAACUUCAACCAGUUCACAGUUCUUGUGGUUGAAAUACGUAAAUCUGCUUUGGUUUCUGUAACUGGGGUUAGAUGCUUUGCUUUUAUUGUUAUUGGGUUUGUUUCCGGUGAAUGGUUUGGUAAAGGAUGCAUUUUUGUAUAUUGGUUUGUUCUAAUAUUGGUUUAGGGUGCGGUUUAUUGUUUUCGGUCGCUAUUGAGGAGAUUGUUAUUAUAAUUGGUUGUGUUUUAUGUGGAUUUUUUGGGUGUUGAGAUUGGGACUUCUUUUAGCAUCCUUCUUGCUGUUGUGUUCUCCUUUUUCCUUAUUCUUUUUUUUGUUUUUUGGGAGGCUAUGAUGAUAUAUAAAAAAAGAGACAUGAGGUUCGGAUGGUUUGGUUUCUAGGCAACUAGCUCUUGCUUUCUGUUGUAUCUUGCGCAGCCUAUAUCUUCAAUUUUUUAUUGGUGCAAGUUAUGAAGAUAAGCACAAUGAUGCCUUUCCUUUUGUACUUUAUGUUUUUCUUAGAUUAGGUUUCGAUAAGAAAUAAAAUUUAAUUUGAACACAUUUGAAAAUUUUAUUUAGCUAAUAUAAUUGCAAUUUUUACCCUGGAACAUUAAUUGUUAGCUAUUUUUCUGCUAUUCUUUCUCGCAUACAUGAAUGCGUUGAGUUUAUGUUGAAUUUGAAAGUGCUAUGCUUCCUAAGAAAUGGUAAAUAAUUGUCAUACUACUUUAUUAACUAUAAUGACGCUUUUGGAUCGCCCUUUCAUAAGCUUAUAUUGAUAUGUAUAAAAUGGUAGUCAUAUUGUUUUAAUAACUCAGGUUCGCUAUUAAAUAUUUAAGAUCUCAUAAUAUGUUCGAUUAGUGUUUGAAGUCCUUUAACAUAGUGCAUGAGCUAUAUAUUUCUGUUUAAGGCUUUUCUUUUCCCUUUUGGGGGAGAGCUGUCAUAAUAUUUUAAAAAAGAGACAUGAGGUUUGGAUGCUCUGGUUUCAAGGUGACGAACUCUUGGUUUUCGUUGUAUUCUCCACAGCCUAUAUCUUAAAAUUUUUCUCUGAUUAUAUGGUUUGGACUUACUUUCUGAUUUUGCUUUUGUUUUUUUCCUUUUUUUUCCCUCUCUCUUUGAUUGUAUGGUCUCGAUUUUCUUUGUUGUUUUUUGAGCCAGUGAGGGUGGAUAACAUGAUAAAUGCUGUUUUUUGGACUAUUAUCCGGCCUCAAUCUAAUUAAAGAUGUGUUGAGCCAAAUCAAUGAAAUGUGUGAUAUAAACAUAACUUAUUGCUGAUAAAAUAUUAUUUGGACCAAAUAUUAUUGAUGAUCAAUCAUAAACAUAAACAGUUCUGUACUUGCUGUUACCAAUUGCAAAAACUGAAUAAACAAAUACCGAAAGAAAAAAAAAAACUUAAAAUUUCCAUUUUUUUUCUGGCUGUUGUGAUUCUUUGAUUUUGGUGAGCAUUGUAUUUUCCUCAACCUAUAUCUUAAGAUGGAUCAAAUAUCUUACCUUUUUUGCUAUCUCCUUUUGCAGCAGCGUAGAUCGAUAGAAUGAAAAAAAAAAGAGCUGGUUUUGUCUGCCUACUUACUAGGCAACUACCUCAUAGUGUUCGCUUUCCUUUCCUCAAUCUAUAUCUUAAGGUUGGAUGGAAAUAAUAUCUGAGCCUCCCGUAGUUUUAUAUGUUUUUUGUAUUUUUUAUGUUGCCUAUAUUUUUUUUGUUAGAUAUGUUUUUAUUGUUGUGUAUAUAUAUAUAUAUAUAUAUAUAUAUAUAUAUAUAUGUGUGUGUGUGUGUGUGUGUGUGCAUGUGUGUGUGGAGUAAGGAAAAUACUGGUUAUAUCUAACUCUUUAUUUAUAAAUUAGUAAAAGCAUAUGUGUGUGCGUUUGUGUAUAAAUAUGUAUAUAUGAACUAUGGAAAAAAGUUGUUAGAUCUGAUUCUGUAUUUGUAGAUUAGUAAAAGCAUCUAUGUUGCUUCAGUGUUUGAGGGAAUGGAUGUUGAGCAAUAUACACUUCCUUUUUAAUAUUUUUUUUUUGCUCCUGGACCCUCUAAUUGCUUAUUUACAAAAUCUGUAAACUGUUUAGGUUUUGGGGAAUUUUUUUCUCGUGAACUGUAGAGUCUUUUAGAUAUUCCACGUUUAGUUCUGCUUUUGGUGNUGAAGAUCUGCCUAUACCAAAGUUUAAGUUCUUACAUCCAAUAUUAAAUUAAGCAAAAUAGUUUAGUUAACUAGCUUUAGUAAAAGCGUAUGUGUCUGCGUUUGUGUAUAUAUGUAUAUAUGAACUAUGGAAAAAAGUUAUUAGAUCUGACUCUGUAUUUGUAGAUUAGUAAAAGCAUCAAUGUUACUUCAGUGUUUGAGGGAGUGGAUGUUGACCAAUAUACACUUUCUUUUUAUAAAUUAGUAAAAGCAUAUGUGUGUGCGUUUGUGUAUAUAUAUGUAUAUAUGAACUAUGGAAAAAAGUUGUUAGAUUUGGCUCUGCAUUUGUAGAUUAGUAAAAGCAUCUAUGUUGUUUCAGUGUUUGAGGGAAUGGAUGUUGACCAAUAAACACUUUCUUUUUAUUUUUUUUUGUUUCUCCUGAACCCUCUGUAAACUGUUUAGGUUUUGGGGAAUUUUUUUGGGGUGACCUGUACAGUAUCUAAUAUAUUCCACGUUUAGCUCUGCUUUUGGUGUUGCUUAUAUUUAUGUGUGUAAUGUAUAUAUGUUUUCCUUUAGUUUUUCCCCCAAAUUUUUUGAAAAGUAUCUUUGCAGCAAAUGUGUGGUCGGUUAAACAAAGUAAAAGAAAAUGCUUAAUAUGGUAUUGCAUAUAUUCACAAAUUGAAUAAUCCAAGGUAGACAUUAGGUAUCAGGUUUGGGAUUGGUUUGUAUUAGAAACAUUUGAGUUUUUUUGCAACUGAGCUGAAGUAUUUAAAAAAAAAUCUCAUGAGGAAUACCGGAGUUUACUUACUCAAGUUAAAUGCAGAUAGAAUUACAGGUAAGAAUAUAAUGCACAUAAAUUACUUUGCGAUGUGGGUGGUUUGUCACAAAUUACUAUGUAAUUUUGCGUAAUUUUCAAGGCCAGGUCAUACCAUUUUGGUAUCCAAUUGUCUUCCCUUCUUUUGUUGUUUUCAUGAAUAAUCUUUUGUUGGCUGUUAUUUUAUUCUUACAUGAAUUCAAAUUAGAUGUCUUUGCUUUUCUAUUUUUUGCUUAUCUGCUGUAAAACUAUGGUAUCACAGUAGGAAUGCUGCGUGUAGUUACAAUAAAUCCAUACAAUUUAGGCUUCGGGUUGUGGUUGAAAUAUCGUUUGUCUUAUGUUAAAGGUAUAGAUGUUGUUCUGUUUUGCAUCAUGCAUUUUCUUAUUGUGUCAUAGUACAAUAGGUAGUUAAUUAGUUCCUCCUAAAUCGUAACAAAAAUUCCCGCACGAUCUUUAAUUAUGUCCUUAGGCUUUUGUUUUCAUAAGUGUUUAGUCGGGCAAUUUUCCAUUUUUUGUUGUAGGAUUCCUUCGAUAUCUUUUUUUUGCGACAUAUUUUCUUAUUGUAUUUGUUGAUAUUUUAUUAUUGAUGUGUUGUUCUUUGAUCUUUUUGAUUUGUUCCUCUUCGUAAUUUCCUUACCUUCUAGCUGUUUUGUGCUAGAAAUCUUACUUAUCUACUUAAGAUAAUGAUGUUGCUGAACCUCCGACUAUAUAUAUAUAUAUAUAUAAAGAAUUGUAUUUUUCUUUUUCACUCAGUUCUAAGUAGAUGCUUUUGUUUAAAGGAAUAGUCAAAUGGUGUAAGUAAAGGCUUGGCAAUAUUUGGAUGGUUUGCUAAGCAAGCAACCAUUUGUUGUUUGAAUUUGCUUUUGUCAUUUCAUCGAAUAUGAAGCGAGUCUGAGCCGAGUCUUUUUCUAUUUAUAACUAUUAAUUUGAUACUUUUUAAGCAGAUGCAAACAAUGUGGUCUUCUUUUAUACUUUUUUUAAUGCAAAGAUUUUGCUUCUCACAGAAUCUGAUCUUCCAUGAUUUAGUUGCUACCUUUUUUUGUCUCCUAAGUGUAUGAACAAUACUGCCGGGUCUCUCUGGAACCAACAGGCUUUUGUAUAAAUGCUGACAUUAUUUUAUUUCUCUCUAAUCUGUUAUAGUUAGUGCUUAGAUUAUUCAUUUUUUGGCAAGUUUUGAUUCGUCUUCUCUUUUAAACAAAUUAAAUCAACUCUAGACUAUAUUGAGAAUGUUGUUGCAUAGUUUAUUGUUGAUAAUAUGAAUUUUCUUUUGUUACUAUACAUAUUUUUCUACUGGGACCAAAUAUUUGGUAUUAGGAAAUCAAAAAUAUUUAAAAAAAAAAAAGAUAUCUCAAAUAUUUGGCCACAUUAGGAAUGUCGUGUGCAGUUACAACAAAUCAGUACAAUUUAGGCUUUAGGUCGCGGUUGAAAUGUCAUUUGUGCACGUUUGCAAAAAUUCCAUACAAUAUAGGUUCCUGCAUUGUGAGUGAUUAGAAGUAUAGAUGUCAUUUUAUUUGCUGAUUUAGAUGCUCUUAUUGUGGCAAAGUAUAUGAUGAAGCUACAUUAUGACAAAGAGUCAAAUGAAGAUUCCCAUAUAUUUUGCUGCAAAAUCUAGAGUUAUUAUAUUCGGAAAAAAAUUGCAUCAACUUUAGAUUAUAUUGAGAAUGUUGUUGCAUGGGUUAUUGUUGAAAGUAUGGAUCUUUUUUUUUGGUUCCUCAAGAUAUUUUCCUACUAUGGCGAAAUAUUGGGUAUAGGCAAAUCUAGCUUAUUUAAAAAUAAAGAUAUUUCAAAUAUUUUGCCACAGUAUAAAUGUCGUAUGUGGUUUCAAAAGAUUCAUAAAAUUUAGGCUCCUAUAUCGUGACUCCUUGGAAGUAUAGAUAUAUUGGGCCUGUGAGUGUAGAUAUAUUUGGUCACAGUUCAAAUGUCGCAUGUAUUUGCCAAAAAUCCAUACAAUAUAGGUUCCUACAUUUGUGAGUCCUUAUAAGUAUAGAUAUUGUAGUUUUUCGACUUAGGUUUUCUUAUUGUGUGAAAGUAUAUAGUGUGGCUAUAUUAUGACAAAGAGUGCAACGAAUUUUCUCAUAUAUUUAGGUGCAAAAACUAUAGUUAUUAUAUUCAUGGAAACAUUGCAUGCACAACAUGUAGACUAAAACUUAUAUAUUAUGAGAAUAUGUGGUUGAUUGGUUUAGGGAAUGCUUGAAACUUCAUGUGUGGUAAAAGUAUGUAUUAAAUAAGGAAAAGUUAUUGCUCGACUAAGGACCUACAUUUGUGAGCUAAAUAGGAAGUUAUAGGUUUUUUUGUCAAAUCCUAUGCUUGAUUGUAUCAAUUUGGGCUCAAUUAAUUUAGUUUUUUUUUUUUUUCUGAUUUUGUCUGAUCCAAGAUUUCUAUAUAUCUAAUACUAGAUUGUCUACGUUGUAUAGGUGAAGAACUGCCUAUACCAAAGAUCAAGUUCUUACAUCCAAUGUUAAAUUAAGCAAGAUAGUUUAGUCAACUAGCUUUAGUAAAAGCAUAUGUGUGUGCCUUUGUGUGCAUAUAUGUAUAUAUGAACUAUGGAAAAAAAAGUUGUUAGAUCUGACUCUGUAUUUGUAGAUUAGUAAAAGCAUCUAUGUUACUUCAGUGUUUGAGGGAAUAGAUGUUGACCAAUAUAGACUUCCUUUUUAAUUUUUGUUUCUUUUUACUCCUGAACCCUCGAAUUGCUUAUUUUCAAAAUCUGUAAACUGUUUAUGUUUUUGGGUUUUUUUUUUUGGUGAACUGUAUAGUAUUUUAUAUAUUCCACGUUUAGCUCUGCUUUCGGUGUUGCUUAUAUUUAUGUGUGGUUUUUACUUAAGUCUGGUACAUUACGCCUAAAAUGUGUGAUCGGUUAAACAAAGUAAAAGAAAAUGCUUAAUAUGGUAUUGCAUAUAUUCACAAAUUGAAUAAUCCAAGGUAGACAUUAGGUAUCAGGUUUGGGAUUGGUUUGUAUUAGGAACAUUUUUGUUUUUUUUUACAACUAAGCUGAAGUAUUUUUUGAAAAGUUUCUUUGCAGCUUUGUUUGCUUUUUAAAUCUUAUGCGGACUGGUUUUUACUUAAGUCUGGUACAUUAUCCCUAAAAUGUGUGAUCGGUUAAACAAAGCAAAAGAAAAUGCUUAAUAUAGUAUUGCAUAUAUGUAAUAACUGAGAUUUUUCAUUUAUUGAUUAAACCCUUUAGUUUGACGAUGUUCUUGUGUGUAAUAUAAUUAUAAGUGUACUCGUCAAAUUUCAGGAGAAAACGAGUUAAAACGGAGAAGUUACGCGACCCGGAAGUUCGACUUAAGUGAAUAGUAACUCCGGUUUUCCGGAGAGGCCGCGAAGUAGAGUGGACUUUCAACGCGUAUCGGACUCCGAAUAUAGCCUUCCAAUAGCUCGUUUCGAACCUCUCGACUAUACUGGAACCAUUGGCGCUGACGGAAUUGGGUUCUGAUGCACGGUUGUCGAGAAAAAGGGGUUUAAUGGUUUUUACAUAUGAUUAUACCUAUAUGUGGUUUUUGAUGGAACCAGUGAGGGUGGGUUUUGUCGCAAAUCGGAGACCUUUUCAGACGAAACGAAAUGCUAGAUUCGAUGCCCCAGUCGUGCUGAUCGCGCUGGCGCAAUCCGUUCGGAAAUCCGACGGACGGAUCUUCGGGAAUCGCGAAAAGUCCGCGAAGGGGCUGAUUUGACAAAACGGAUAAAUCGCGAAGAAGCCCAUUAUUUUAUGCGCCGUUUUGCGAGUUUUCGAACUCGGAGGGACUGUCGUGCAAGGUGCACCAACUGGUAGGGAGCUGGGUCGAAAUUGGUCAACAUCGGGGGUUUUUCCGCAAGGUUUACUCUACCUACAUAAAGGAAGAUUUAGGGUUCCGAGGUGAAACCCUAACCCUAAUCCGACCCCAGCUGACCCAGACCACCCUAGCCGCCCCAGCUGAGCCCUGCCCUGUCGGUGCGCGCGCCCCGGCCGCCGGCGUGCUGCUCCGGCCACCGGAAACCCUCCUGCAGCCUUCCCGGACCACCCUCUCGGCCACCUUUUCCUCCUCCUUGGCCGAGAGCAAGUGGGGCAUCUACACCACCUCUGGAAGGAAGCCCCGGCCGUGAUCCACCUCCAGCGCGCCUAUCUCCCAGCUCCGGCCAUCCCCGGACGUUGCCGGAGCCGCCUGGAAGCUGCGGCCAGCCCGGGGUCAACCCAGGCCGAGCCGGGCCAACCUCGAGCUGCGGGCGCCGCCACCACAUUUCUCCGGCCGCGCCGCCCUCCAGUCGGCCUCGGCGACCUCCGGCAACCCGGCGCGCGCAUCCCCCGCCGUCCCCGCGCGCCGCCGGCCGUCGCUGGAACUUCCUGUGGCCGCCCAAGCACGUGCGGGCCGAGGUCGGGCCCGCCCAGCUUCUAGACGCUGCCGCAGCCCACCGUAGGGUGCACGGCCUCCCCCUCGACCUCCGGCGCCGAACCGUCGCCGCCCCGACCUCCUCCGGCCGCCGCCGCGCCGCCGGGAAGCUUGAACCCGAGAGGGAGUUGGGGGAGUGGAUCUCGGCCGCCGCGCCACCGGUUGCCGCCCGCCGCCGGCCAGCACCCUCCCCGGACCCCCUGGACCGAGUGCUCCCUCCUCCGGCCGGAUCGCCCGCCUCCCGGCCGCCGGCGACCAACCCUAGCACUCCUCGGGUCCGGUAAGGGCAUUUUACGUUCCAGCACUGUUUUUCGAGGUUCCGGUCUCCUUUUCGGUGAUCCGAAAAGCCUCCUAAGCUUCGGGAAGUGAGCACGAUGAUCUACAACUCGUGCUGAACAUCGUGCUCACCUCCAAUAGCAGCAAUGAUGCCCUGGUUUGUGAGUUAGUCGCGAUCUUCGCGCUGUGCGCGCAGUUUAUCUGAUUUUCACAUCGCUCGUGCGCGCACCGCAGUGGCCGGCAGUGCUCCGAAAGGUGAGCACGGCCUCCGACAUGCUGAAACCUGUCAGCGAGUACGACGGUCGGAUUAAUCGACCCCUGGUUUGUGCGCACGGUCCAGAAAAGUCUAGAAAUCACAUGAAAUGAUGCAAUUUCAUGUAUCGGUAUCGGCUUUUAGGCUUUCUGCUUCGUUGUAGAUGCUGUGGACAGCGUGUAAAUGCUGAGGGUAACCUCUGGACUGAUCGUCCAAGGCCCCAAGCCUUUGCGGAAAUCGUAAAGUGACUUCCGGAGCGUUUUUCGGCGAAAUCCGCCGAUAGAACGCGGUUUCGGUUCGGAAUUCUUCCGAUGGUUCUUGGGGAUCAUUUGUUUCGUCGCUGAGCCUUGUUGGCUGGUCACCUGCAUCGUUUCGUGGGUUUGGAAACGACAGGUGAGCGACAGCGAAGUUCCGGUGCGGUUUUCGGGACUUCCGGUUUGUACGGUAAGCUGUUUUGGGAAACCGUUUUUGUGGGGCUAUGAGCGGGGGUUGUGAGUUAGCUUUUGAUGUCAGUGGGUUAGGCCUUAACCCGUUGGACCUUUCGUAGGUUCGGUUGCACCGUCUUCACAGUCGAGAGACCUUCGUCAGAUACAUACAAGUGGGUACUUCGACCCGACGUCGGUACAGUGGUGCACGCUCGGUGACGUUCCUUCCACCCUUCCUAUUUACAUUGCUUAUCAUAUACAUUGCCUAUCAUAUUAUCCUCGUAUUACUCUACUCGGUUGUUUCCAUGCUCGGUAUCUUGUGUAGGAGUAGAGUAGAUUUCUUCAGCAUAUGAUAUCUGUGAUCUGGUUGGUUGAUUCUCCUUUGUUGUAUCUAUGACCUGGUUGGUCGAGUUUCAUACUUCAUACUUGUGACCUGGUUGGUCGAUUUGGUUACAUGAUGACCCAUGCGGUCGAUGGGCCCUGGGGGGCAGGAUUGUCGGCUGGUUGCCGACGGUUGAUCAUUGAGCAUAUUGCAUUGAUCGCCCGAUACUCGUCGCAUUUCACGAACACUGGCGGUCUGAUCCACUGCAAGAAGUGUUCUUUUCCGGAAAAGUGGUUGAAUGGUGACAACCCGUGAGCCCUAGAAGGGUUAUAUGCACUGGAGAGUAAUAGUGGCAUUGGCUUGAGGUCUGCGGUGCUGACCAAGAGAGCAGUGGUUCAGAUUGGGUACUUUUGGACUGAUUGUCCCGUUGAUGCAUACUUACAGUAGCUGUAGUUGUUCAUUUAUAUUCAUUUCAGUUCUUGUUUAUCUUAGCUACUGUACUACCAUUAUCCAUCUAUUUGUUUAUCUCCGUGACUAGUGAGUACCCCUCGCCUUCUUCGGCUUGCGGUACCCACUAGGAGGGGAGACAUGUUUACAUGUUCUCACCCCCCGCCCCCAUUACAGGUGACGUAGCAGGACCGAGUGGGACAGCUGGUGAGGAGCGUGUCUAGCGUGCGAUAGAGCUCCUUCCCGAGUCGGUUAUUCCUUUUACCCUUCAUGCUUGAAUAAAUACUUAGACAUAUUAUGGUUCAGUUCUAUUUUAUUAUCUGACUAUCUGGGUUUUCAAUUGGUUUUGAAAUGUACUAAAGGAUUUGAGUUUUCUUGAAAUAAAACAGUUUUCUACCCCUCGUGGUAGCUGGUUUUGAAAAAGAAUAAUUCCCGUGUGGGGAUCAGUUUUCAAAUUGAUUUUUCUGUGGUUUUAUGGAUUUAGUAUUUCAAAAUCGGUUUCCAGGUAGGAAACAUUUUAACUGAUAGAUGUGGAAUGUUAUUCAUAAUUCAAGUAUCAUAUCUGUGUGUGUGAAUGGAAUGGAUGAAUGUUAUCUAUCUUGUUGUUCAUCUGGUUGUGGUUGUGAUUGUGUGUGUAUCUAUACUCUGUUGUACUUGUGCGACGCCGUGCAAAUACAGGGGAGACUCUGUCCGUGUGAACAGUGGAACUCCUGUAUUUGUGGCGGAUCUGGCACACUCUGGG
rnacentral:lncRNA from 1 species